rnacentral:lncRNA from 1 species
AAUUACCAUAUUUAUCACAUGAAUUGAAUCGUAUUAUUUGACAUGACAAAUUAUAGUCAAACAAUUGCAAAAACAUUUGCAAAGUCGAUCUACUAAUAAAACGUAGCUAAGCCUGGAUAUCUAAACUUCCAUGUCCUACGCAUCUACAAUAUCAUUAUAACCCUACAGAUAGCCAUGCUCAUUGGGUUGUAACCCAAGCUGUAACCUCACCAACCUAUUCUUAAAAGAAAACAAAUAUAACACACUCCAGUUCAAACCUCGAUCACCAAACACCAUACCACCCCCAAACUAAUUAUAAACAUGAGCUAAUUAUAAAACUAAUUACACAUAUGGAGGCUAAUUCGUGAGAUGAAUCUAUUAAGCCUAAUUAAUCCAUCAUUAGCACAUAUUUACUGUAGCAUCACAUUAUCAGAUCAUGGACUAAGGCCCUGUUUGAAGAGGGGGUGCUAAACCCUACUUUUUAGCACCUUUUAGCACUUGGGCUCCCAAACAAGGAUGCUAAAAGGAGUGCUAAAGUUUAGCACCCCAUUUUCUUUAGCACACCCAAGGGGUGCUAAAAGGUGCUAAUGGGUGCUAAAAGUGAUCCUAAGCCCAUUUUUUCCCCUGCUGCCCCCCUCUCUCCUCUCCACUUUUCCCCAAGCCAAUCAUAAAUGAGGGCAAUGUAGUCAUUUCUCACCCAAUGUGCUAAACUUUAGCACUGUAUCCAAACAACCCUAAGUGCUAAACUUUAGCACUUCAUUUGAGGGUGCUAAAGUUUAGCACUGUGCUAAAGUUUAGUAUUGUGUAUCCAAACGGGGCCUAAUUAGGCUUAAUAGAUUUGUCUCGUAAAUUAACCUCCAUAUGUGCAAUUGGUUUUGUAAUUAGUCUAUGUUUAAUACUCCUAAUUAGUAUCUAAACAUUCGAUGUGACAGUAUUUAAAGAACCAAAAUGGAGGUGCAUCUGAAAGCAAGUUGGCAUCUUAGGACAACUGUCCUUUUUUUUGGUCAGUGCAUUCUAAUCUGCACUCGAGCUACCUAUCAAUCUCACAUUGAAUUGCGGCGCACAAGAGUACAAGAGAAACAACCAAAAGGCGUUGGCAAUUUAGCAUGGACCCAACCAACAAAUUUUGUUUGCUUCACUCUUCCUUUGCUUCGAUCUGUAACUCCAUUAUCAGCCAGCAAGAGGCAGCAUUUGUCCUACACAAAAAGAAUUCACAGAUCAACAUAUGCCAUAGAAAACAAAUGGACCAAAAUCACAGCAGACACUAGCAACAGAAUAGAAGGGAGAGGUUAUCUAGGAACAUUCAGAACAAGUCAUCAAGCAUCAGUAGAUUCGGAUCAUAUCGUAUCCGGUGAAGAUGAGUCUAAAGAUCAAUCACAUCAAUCUCAAACUGUGUGAGCAUAGCUGGAUUCUGACUAGUCAAAUACAUAGCUUUGAGAGCAGCUUUCUGAGUACCUGUGACACGACGCUGAUUCUGCGAGUUGCGUGGGGCCUCAUAAUCCGAGCCUCCAUUGAAAUUAUAAGUCUCACAAAGAAGAUCGUUUUCUUGAACCCCAACUCUCCAAUCAUUGCCAAGACCAGCAACAAGAGCAAUAAAGAUGGCCUCAUACUCUGAAUGAUCAAUUUUGAAUUUCAAUAAAUCAUACAACUCCUUAAAUAGCUGAGGGUAAGAGAUCAUUAAAAUCAGGCCAGGAUGUAUUGGGAAAAUUUCCCGGUCCUCAAAGUGAUUAUUCAUCAGCCAGAGAAGGAGAUUAAUAUAAGAUGGUAGACAAAGCCACCCAUUGACCAUAAACAAUUUCCAAAUCAAGUCUGCUGUUGCCCUGGUAAUUAAGUCGUAGAUGAGCUUUAAUAGCUGCAUCAUCCAGAUUUUGCCUUGUUAGAAUCCGUACGUGCCUCAGGUUUACCUUCCCUCUGGAAUACACGUGAACGUUGUCUUCAGUAAGAACAUCAAUACAACCUCCUUCCUACUCAACCUUCCUCAACUUCUUGAUCAAAGAUCUUGAAGCCUUCUUACUGAUCUCAGGAGCACGAUAAUACGAUUCAUGACUAUUCUCACCAAGAAGAGAACGUAUACCACCGGCAGUUGUUAACUUAAAAUUCACUUUCAAGACCAUCUUAUUAUUCCUUCUGAAUUGAUCCCAGGUGACUCCACUGUCAGCAAAAAUAACACGAUUUCCAUUGGAAGAGUACCCUUUGCAGAGAAAUCGUGCUUCUUCUUAUUCCAAGUACCAUAACCAGCUGCUAUGGCUUCCAUCCGAUGUGGCAACCGAUUUCUCAGGAACCUCAGAAGUUUGUGACCAUCAAUCACAUCAAUCUUAAACUGUGUAAGCAUAGCUGGAUUCUGACUAGUCAAACACACAGCUUUGAGAGCAGCUUUUUGAGGACCUGUGACACGACGCUGAUUCUGGGUGUUGCGUUGGACCUCAUAAUCUGAGCCUCCAUUAAAAUUAUAAGUCUGACAAAGAAGGUCAUAUUCUUGAACCUCCACUCUGCAAUCAUUGCCAAGACCAGCAAGAAGAGCAACAAAGAAGGCCUGGUACUCUGAAUGAUCAAUCUUGGUUUCCAAGAAAUCAUGCGACUCCUUGAAUAUGUGAGGGUAAGAGAUCAUUGGAAUAAGGCCAGCAUAUACUGGAAAAAAUUUUAGGUCCUCAAAGUAAUUAUUCAUUAGCCAGAGAAGGUGAUUAAUAUCUGAUGGUAGACAAAGUCACCCACUGACCGUAAACAAUUUCCAAAUCAAGUCCGCUGCUGCCCUGGUAAUUGAGUUGUAGACGAGGAUUAAUAGCUGCAUCAUCCAGAUGUUGCCUUGUUAGAAUCCGUACGUGCCUCAGGUUUACCUUCGCUGAGGGAUACACACGAACGUUGCCUUCCGUAAGAACAACAACACAACCUCCUUCCAACUCAACCUUCCUUAACUUAUUGAUCAAAGAUCUUGAAGCCUUCUUACUGAUAUCAGAAGCAAGCUAAUACGAUUGAUGACUAUUCUCACCAGGAAGAGAAGGAAUACCACCGGCAGUUGUUGACUUAAAAUUCACAUUCAAGACCAUCUUAUUAUUCCUUCUAAAAGGAUCCCAGGUGACUCCACUAUCAGCAAAAAUAACAUGAUUCCCAUUGGGUGAGUACCCACUAGAGAGAAAUCGUGCUUCUUCUUAUUCCAAGUACCAUAACCAGCUGCUAUGGCUUCCAUGCGAUGUGCCAGCCGAUUCCUUAGUAACCUUAGAAGUUUGUGACCAUCAAUCACAUCAAUCUCAAUCUUUCUGAGCAUAGCUGGGUUGACUAGUCAAACACACAACUUUAAGAGCAGCUUUGUGAGGACCAUUGCAAUAAGACCAGCAUGUAUUGGAAAAAUUUUCAGGUCCUCAAAUUGAUUAUUUAUCAGCUAGAUAAGGUGAUUAAUAUCUAAUGGUAGACAAAGUCACCCACAGACCAUAAAAAAUUUGCAAAUCAAGUACGCUGCUGCCCUGGUAAUUGAGUCGUAGACGGACCUUAACAGCUGCAUCAUCCAGAUCUUGCCUUGUUAGAAUCCGUACGUGCCUCAGGUUUACCUUCCCUGAGGGAUACACGCAAACGUUGCCUUCAUUAAGAACCUCAACACAACCUGCUUCCAACUCAGCAUUCCUUAACUUCUUGAUCAAAGAUCUUGAAGCCUUCUUCCUGAUCUUAGAAGCACGAUAAUACGAUUGAUGAUUAUUCUCAACAGGAAGAGAAGGUAUACCACCGGCAGUUGAUGACUUUAAACUCACUUUCGAUUCCCAUUGGGUGAGUACCCACUCGAGAGAAAUCGUGCUUCGUUUUAUUCCAAGUACCAUAACCAGCUGCUAUGGCUUCCAUGCGAUGUGCCAGCUGAUUCCUCAGGAACCUGAGAAGUUUGUGACCAUCAAUCACAUCAAUCUCAAACUUUGUGAGCACAGCUGGAUUCUGACUAGUCAAACACACAGCUUUGCGGGACGCUUUCCGAGGACCAUUGCAAUAAGAUCAGCAUGUAUUAGGAAAAUUUUCAGAUCCUCAAAGUGAUUAUUCAUCAGCUAGAGAAGAUAAUUAAUAUCUGAUGGUAGACAAAGUCACCCACAGACCAUAAACAAUUUCUAAAUCAAGUCCGCUGCUGCCCUGAUAAUUGUGCCGUAGACGGACCUUAACAGCUGCAUCAUCCAGAUCUUGCCUUGCUAGAAUCCGUACGUGCCUCAGGUUUACCUUCCUUGAGGGAUACACGCGAACGUUGCCUUCAGUAAGAACAUCAACACAACCUCCUUCCAAUUCAGCCUUUUUUAACUUCUUGAUCAAAGAUAUUGAAGCCUUCUUACUAAUCUCAGGAGCACGAUAAUACGAUUGAUGACUAUUCUCACCAGGAAGAGAAGAUAUAUCACCGGCAGUUGAUGACUUUAAACUCACUUUCAAUACCAUCUUAUUGUUCCUUCUGAAUUGAUCCCAGGUGACUCAACUUUUAGUAGAAACAACACGAUUCUCAUUGGGUGAGUACCCACUAGAGAGGAAUCGUGCUUCUUCUUAUUCCAAGUACCAUAACCAGCUGCUAUGGCUUCCAUGCGAUGUGCCAGCCGAUUCCUCAGGAACGUGAGAAGUUUGUGACCAUCAAUCACAUCAAUUUCAAACUUUGUGAGCACAGUUGGAUUCUGACUCGUCAAACACACAGCUUUGAGGGAAAUUUUCCGAGGACCAUUGCAAUAAGAUCAGCAUGUAUUGGGAAAAUUUUCAGAUCCUCAAAGUGAUUAUUCAUCAGCUAGAGAAGAUAGUUAAUAUCUGAUGGUAGACAAAGUCACCCACAGACCAUAAACAAUUUCCAAAUCAAGUCCGCUGCUGCCCUGAUAAUUGUGCCGUAGACGUACCUUAACAGCUGCAUCAUCCAGAUCCUGCCUUGCUAGAAUCCGUACGUGCCUCAGGUUUUUACCUUCCCUGAGGGAUACACGCGAACGUUGCCUUCAGUAAGAACAUCAAAACAACCUUCUUCCAACUCAGCCUUUCUUAACUUCUUGAUCAAAGAUCUUGAAACCUUCUUACUGAUCUCAGGAGCAUGAUAAUACGAUUGAUGACUAUUCUCACCAGGAAGAGAAGGUAUACCACCGGCAGUUGAUGACUUUAAACUCACUUUUAAUACCACCUUAUUGUUCCUUCUGAAUUGAUCCCAGGUGACUCCACCUUUAGCAGAAACAACACGAUUCCCAUUGGGUGAGUACCCACUAGAGAGGAAUCCUGCUUCUUAUUAUUCCAAGUACCAUAACCAGCUCCUAUGGCUUCCAUGCGAUCUGCCAGCCGAUUCCUCAGGAACCUCAGAAGUUUGUAACCAUCAAUCACAUCAAUCUCAAACUUUGUGAGCAUAGUUGGAUUCUGACUCGUCAAACACACAACUUUCAGGGAAACUUUCCGAGGACCAUUGCACUAAGAUCAACAUGUAUUGGAAAAAUUUUUAGGUCCUCAAAGUGAUUAUUCAUCAGCAGCAGAAGAUAAUUAAUAUCUGAUGGUAGACAAAGUCACCCACAGACCAUAAACAAUUUCCAAAUCAAGUCCGUUGCUGCCCUGCUAAUUGUGCCGUAGACGGACCUUAACAGCUGCAUCUUCUAGAUCCUGCCUUGCUAGAAUCCGUACGUGCCUCAGGUUUACCUUCCCUGAGGGAUACACGCGAACGUUGCCAUCAGUAAGAACAUCAACGCAACCUCCUUCCAACUCAGCCUUUCGUAACUUCUUGAUCAAAGUUCUUGAAGCCUUCUUACUGAUCUCAGGAGCACGAUAAUACGAUUGAUGACUAUUCUCACCAGUAAGAGAAAGUAUACCACCGGCAGUUACUGACUUUAAACUGAAUUUAAAUACCAUCUUAUUGUUCCUUCUGAAUUGAUCCCAGAUUACUCCACUUUUAGCAGAAACAACACGAUUCCCAUUGGGUGGGUACCCACUCGAAAGAAAUCAAGCUUGUUCUUAUUCCAUGUACCAUAACAAGCUGCUAUGGCUUCCAUGCGAUGUGCCAGCCGAUUCCUGACGAACCUCAGAAGUUUAGGACCAUCAAUCACAUCAAUCUCAAACUUUGUGAGCAUAGCUACAUUCUGACUAGUCGAACAUGCAGCUAUGAGAGCAGCUUUCUGAGGACCAUUGCAAUAAAAUCAGCAUGUAUUGGGAAAAUUUUCAGGUACUCAAAGUGAUUAUUCAUCAGCUAGAGAAGGUGAUUAAUAUCUGAUGGUAGGCAAAGUCAUCCACUGACCAUAAACAAUUCAAAAAUCAAGUCCGCUGCUGCCCUGGUAAUUGUGUCCUAGACGGACCUUAACAGCUGCAUCAUCCAGAUCCUGCCUUGCUAGAAUCCGUACGUGCAUCUGGUUUACCUUCCCUGAGGGAUACACGCGAACGUUGCCUUCAGUAAGAACAUCAACACAACCUCCUUCCAACUCAGCCUUUCUUAACUUCUUGACCAAAUAUCUUGAAGCCUUCUUACUGAUCUCAGGAGCACGAUAAUACGAUUGAUAACUAUUCUCACCAGGAAGAGAAGGUAUUCCACCGGUAGUUGCUGACUUUAAACUCACUUUCAAUACAAUCUUAUUGUUCCUUCUGAAUUGAUCCUAGGUGACUCCACUUUCAGCAGAAACAACACGAUUCCCAUUGAGUCAGUACCCACUAGAGAGGAAUCGUGCUUCUUAUCCCAAAUACCAUAACCAGCUGCUACGGCUUUCAUGCGAUGUGCCAGCCGAUUCCUCACGAACCUCAAAAGUUUGUGACCAUCAAUCACAUCAAUCUUAAACUUUGUGAGCACAGCUGGAUUCUGACUCGUCAAACACAAAGCUUUGAGGGAAGCUUUCCGAGGACCAUUGCAAUAAGAUCAGCAUGUAUUGGGAAAAUUUUCAGGUCCUCAAAGUGAUUAAUUAUCAGCUACAGAAGGUGAUUAAUAUCUGAUGGUAGACAAAGUCACCCACAGAACAUAAACAAUUUCCAAAUCAAGUCCGUUGCUGCCCUGAUAAUUGUGCCGUAGACGGACCUUAAUAGCUGCAUCAUCCAGAUCCUGCCUUCCUAGAAUUCGUACGAGCCUCUGGUUUACCUUCCCUGAGGGAUAGACGCGAACGUUGCCUUCAGUAAGAACAUCAACACAACCUCCUUCCAACUUAGCCUUUUUUAACUUCUUGAUCAAAGAUAUUGAAGCCUUCUUACUGAUCUCAGGAGCACGAUAAUACGAUUGAUGACUAUUCUCAUCAAGAAGAGCAGGUAUACCACCGGUAGUUGAUGACUUUAAACUAACUUUCAAUACCAUCUUAUUGUUCCUUCUGAAUUGAUCCAGGUGACUCCACUUUCAGCAGAACCAACACGAUUCCCAUUUGGUGAGUACCCACUAGAGAACAAUCGUGUUUCUUCUUAUCCCAAGUACCAUAACCAGCUGCUAUGGCUUCCAUGCGAUGUGCUAGCCGAAUCCUCACGAACCUCAGAAGUUUAGGACCAUCAAUAACAUCAAUCUCAAACUUUGUGAGCAUAGCCAGAUUCUGACUAGUCGAAUACGCAGGUUUGGGAGUAGCUUGCUUAGGACUAUUGCGAUAAGACCAUAAUGUAUUGGGAAAUUUUUAGAUCCUCAAAGUGAUUAUUAAUCAGCUAGAGAAGGUGAUUAAUAUCUGAUGGUAGACAAAGUCACACACUCACCAUAAACAAUUUUCCAAAUCUAGUCCGCUGCUGCCCUGAUAAUUGUGCCGUAGACGGACCUUAACAGCUGCAAUAUCCAAAUCCUGCUUUGCUAGAAUCCGUACGUGCCUCAGGUUUACCUUCCCUGAGGGAUACACGCGAACAAUGCCUUUAGUAAAAACAUCAACACAACCUCCUUCCAACUCAUCCUUUCUUAACUUCUGGAUCAAAGAUAUUGAAGCCUUCUUACUGAUAUCAGGAGCACGAUAAUACGAUUGAUGAAUAUUCUCACCAGAAAGAGAAGGUAUACCACCUGCAGUUGAUGACUUUAAACUCAUUUUCAAUACCAUCUUAUUGUUCCUUCUGAAUUGAUCCCAGGUGACUCCACUUUUAGUAGAAACAACACGAUUUCCAUUGGGUGAGUACCCACUAGAGAGGAAUCGUGCUUCUUCUUAUUCCAAGUACCAUAACCAGCUGCUAUGGCUUCCAUGCGAUGUGCCAGCCGAUUCCUCAGGAACCUGAGAAGUUUGUGACCAUUAAUCACAUCAAUCUCAAACUUUGUGAGCACAGCUGGAUUCUGACUCGUCAAACACACAGCUUUGAUGGAAGCUUUCCGAGGACCAUUGCAAUAAGAUCAGCAUGUAUUGGGAAAAUUUUCAGGUCCUCAAAGUGAUUAUUCAUCAGCUAGAGAAGAUAAUUAAUAUCUGAUGGUAGACAAAGUCACCCACAGACCAUAAACAAUUUCCAAAUCAAGUCCGCUGCUGCCCUGAUAAUUGUGCCGUAGACGGACCUUAACAGCUACAUCAUCCAGAUCCUGCCUUGCAAGAAUCCGUACGUGCCUCACGUUUACUUUCCCUGAGGGAUACACGCGAACGUUGCCUUCAGUAAGAACAUCAACACAACCUCCUUCCAACUCAGCCUUUCUUAACUUCUUGAUCAAAUAUCUUGAAGCCUUCUUACUGAUAUCAGGAGCACGAUAAUACGAUUGAUGACUAUUCUCACCAGGAAGAGAAAGUAUACCACCGGCAGUUACUGACUUUAAAUUGAAUUUAAAUACCAUCUUAUUGUUCCUUCUGAAUUGAUCCCAGAUUACUCCACUUUUAGCAGAAUUCUGACUUUGUGAGCAUAGCUAAAUUCUGACUAGUCGAACAUGCAGCUAUGAGAGCAGCUUUUUGAGGACCAUUGUAAUAAGACCAGCAUGUAUUGGGAAAAUUUUCAAAUCCCCAAAGUGAUUAUUCAUUGCGUAUGACGCGCAUGUUCUUGAUCCAGCACCUAAUGGGGAUCGUGUAUUAUUUGCUGAUUAUCGUGGAAUCACUUGGGAUUAGUUUAGAUACAGCCAGCAAUUGGCCUUUGAUAUUGAUCAUAAUACAUUGUCAGGAGGUAUGCCAACUCUUCCUAGUGAGCAGGGCAGAGAUCCUUUUUAUUUAGCUGCUGAGAUAACUAAGAAGGCAAGUAGAUCGUUAAUCAUGCUUUUAAGGAAGAUUGAACUAGAAGGCAAUUGUAUUGAACUUAUUGAUCAUACCAAAGUUCGUGUCUAUGAGAACGGAUAGGUAAGGCUGUCACGCGUCCGUAUUCUAACAAAUCAAGAUUUAAGUGAUGCAGAAAUUGAGAAUCAUCUAAGGCUUAAUUAUAGGGCAGCGGCGGAUAUGAUUUUUAUGUUGUUUGAUGUCAAUGGCAAUAGGCAGUAUUGGCUACCACCAGAUAUGGAUCACCUACUUGGAUUGAUGUGGAAUAAUUUUGGAGAUCGAAAAUUUUUUGCCAUACAUGCUGCUCUUGUACCCAUUGUUUUGUAUCCCCACUUGUUUAAGGAACUGCACAAUUUCAUUUCAGAUAAGAUUAGGGAUUUGGAAUACCAUUACACCUGUGUUGCACUAGUUGCUAAUAUUCCUGAUUGGAGGCGUGAAGUUCAUAAUAAUGACCUCUUUUGUGAAACAUAUUUUUUUAAGAAAAUGUUUGGAUUUUGUUGUUCCAUACAACUACCCAAAUCAACUUCAUAUCAGAUGUGAUCAACUUUCAGCAGAAACAACACGGUUCCCAUUGGGUGAGUACCCACUCGAAAGAAAUCGUGCUUUUUCUUAUUCCAUUUACCAUAACCAUCUUCUAUGGUUUCCACACAAUGUGCCAGCCGAUUUCUCAAGAACCUCAGAAGUUUGUGACCAUCAAUCACAUAAAUUUCAAACUUUGUGAGCAUAGUUAGAUUCUGACUAGUCGAACAUGCAGCUUUGAGAGCAGUUUUCUGAGGACCAUUGCAGUAAAACCAGCAUGUAUUGGGAAAAUUUUCAGAUCCUUAAAGUGAUUAUUCAUCAGCUAGAGAAGGUGAUUAAUAUCUGAUGGUAGGCAAAGUCGUCCACCGACCAUAAACAAUUCCGAAAUCAAGUCCGCUUCUGACCUGGUAAUUGAAUCGUACACGAACCUUAAUAGCUGCAUCAUUCAGAUCCUGCCUUGCUAGAAUCCGUACGUGGCUCUGGUUUACCUUCUCUCAGGGAUACACGCGAACGUUGCCUUCAGUAAGAACAUCAACACAACCUCCUUCCAACUCAACCAUUCUUAACUUCUUUAUCAAAGAUCUUGAAGCCUUGUUCCUGAUCUCAAAAGCACGAUAAUACGAUUGAUGACUAUUCUCACCAUGAAGAGAAGGUAUACCACCGGCAGUUUUUGACUUAAAAUUCACAUUCAAGACCAUCUUAUUGUUCCUUCUGAAAUGAUCCCAGGUGACUCCACUUUCAGCAGAAACAACACGAUUCUUAUUGGGUGAUUACCCACUAGAGAGGAAUCGUGCUUUUUCUUAUCCCAAGUACCAUAACCUGCUGCUGUGGCUUCCAUACGAUGUGCCAGCCGAUUCCUCACGAACCGCAGAAGUUUGGGACCAUCAAUCACAUCAAUCUCAAAAAUUGUGAGCAUAGCUAGAUUCUGACUAGUCGAACACGCAGAUUUGAGAAAAGGUUUCUGAGGACCAUUGCAAUAAGAUCAGAAUGUACUGGAAAAUUUAUGGGUCCUCAAACUGAUUAUUCAUCAGCUAGAGAAGGUGAUUAAUAUAUGAUGGUAGAAAAAGUCACCCACUCACCAUAAACAAUUUCCAAAUGAAGUUCGCAGCUGCCCUGAUAAUUGAGUCGUACACGGACUUUAAUAGCUGCAUCAUCCAGAUCUUGCCUUGCUAGAAUCCUUACGUGCCUCAGUUUUACCUUCCCUGAGAGAUACACGCGAACGUUGCAUUUAGAAAGAAAAUCAACACAACCUCCUUCCAACUCAGCCUUUCUUAACUUCUUGAUCAAAGAUCUUGAAGUAUUCUUCCUUAUCUCAGAAGCACGAUAAUACGAUUGAUGACUAUUAUCACCAUGAAGAGAAGGUAUUCCACCGGCAGUUGCUGACUUUAAACUCACUUUCAAUACCAUCUUAUUGUUCUUUCUGAAAUGAUACUAGGUGACUCCACUUUCAGCAGAAACAACACGAUUCCUAUUGGGGAUCGUGUAUUAUUUGCUGAUUAUCGUGGAAUCACUUGGGAUUAGUUUAGAUACAGCCAGCAAUUGGCAUUUGAUAUUGAUCAUAAUACAUUGUCAGGAGGUAUGCCAACUCUUCCUGGUGAGCGGGGCAGAGAUCCUUUUUAUCUAGCUGCUGAGAUAACUAAGAAGGCAAGUAGAUCGUUAAUCAUGCUUUUAAGGAAGAUUGAACUAGAAGGCAAUUGUAUUGAACUUCUUGAUCAUACCAAAGUCCGUGUCUAUGAGAACGGAUAGAUAAGGCUGUCACGCGCCCGUAUUCUGACAAAUCAAAAUUUAAGUGAUGCAGAAAUUGAGAAUCAUCUAAGGCUUAAUUAUAGGGCAGCAGGGGAUAUGAUUUUUAUGUUGUUUGAUGUCAAUGGCAAUGGGCAGUAUUGGCUACCACCAGAUAUGCAUCACCUACUUGGAUUGAUGUGGAAUAAUUUUAGGGAUCGAGGAAUUUUUGCCAUACAUGCUGCUCUUGUACACAUAAUUUUGUAUCCCCACUUGUUUAAGUAACUGCAUGAUUUCAUUUCAGCUAAGAUUAGAGAUUCGGAAUACCAUGACAUCUGUGUUGCACUAGGUGCUAAUGCUCCUGAUUGGAAACGUGAAGUUCAUAAUAAUAACCUCCUUUGUGAAACAUAUUUUUUUAGACAAGAUUUGGAUUAUGUUGUUCCAUACAACUACCCAAAUCAACUUCAUAUCAGACGUGAUCAACUAGCUGCUCUUCAGGAAGUUAGUUUGAUAAAUCAGAAUGCAUUGAGGCUAACACAGCGUGAGAUUGAUAUUAUUAAUGGCCAUAAGCUUUUGAAGUUCAUGAGAAAUCGGUUGGCUCACCGUAUGGAAGCUAUACAAGCUGGCUAUACGACUUGGAAUCAGCAGUUUCAGUAUAAUUUCUCAGCUAUCAGUAGUGAGACGGUAACUAGAGUGAAUUUUCUCUAGCUCUGGCUCAAAUUCAGAUUAAUCUUUAUGAUAUGGGACAUGAUUUGGAGUGAUUUGGGUUGGAUAACUUGUUUGGGUGAAUUGGAUAACUUGUUCUAAAUGUCCUCUCAGGUAACUUGUGAUUAUGAGCUGUGUAAUUUCUAUGUUGUGUAUGCUGUGUGUGAUCUAUACUCUUUUUUGUAGGACAGAGAUGGCGAAGGACUGGAGUUAGCAAGGUGGAGUAGCUUGCUAGCUUUUUAUCCUUCUACGAGACACUCUAUUUAACCCCCUGUGGGACUAUGUAACCCGUAAUUGGUAGUAGUAUAGGGUGAGACUAUGUAACCGUAGUAGUAUGGUUUUAAACUUCUGUUGGAUUGGCUCGCUAACUUUUGGACUUUUUUGUGUGAUGACAGCACUCUCUGAAUGGACCCCCUAAUUGGUAGUAGUAGGGAUGCUACUGGUAGUUUUAAUUGCUGUGUUUAUGUUUAAAUUUCUAUGUGUUUAUGUUGUUUGAUGUCAAUAGCAAUAGGCAGUAUUGGCUACCACCAGAUAUGGAUCACCUACUUGGAUUGAUGUGAAAUAAUUUUGGGAUCGGGGAAUUUAUGCCAUACGUGCUGCUCUUAUACCCACGGUUUUGUAUCCCCACUUGUUUAAGGAACUGCACAAUUUCAUUUCAGAUAAGAUUAGGAAUUCGGAAUACCAUUAUAUCUGUGUUGCACUAGUUGCUAAUGCUCCUGAUUGGAGGCGUGAAGUUCAUAAUAAUGACCUCCUUUGUGAAACAUAUUUUUUUAGAUAAAGUUUGGAUUAUGUUGUUCCAUACAACUACCCAAAUCAACUUCAUAUCAAAUGUGAUCAACUUUCAGCAGAAACAACACGGUUCCCAUUGGGUGAGUACCCACUCGAAAGAAAUCGUGUUUUUUCUUAUUCCAUUUACCAUAACCAGCUUCUAUGGCUUCCAUGCGAUGUGCCAGCCGAUUCCUCAGAAACCUUAGAAGUUUGUAUCAAUCACAUCAAUCUCCAACUUUGUGAGCAUAUCUAAAUUCUGACUAGUCGAACAUGCAGCUUUGAGAGCAGCUUUCUGAGAACCAUUGCAAUAAGACCAGCAUGUAUUGGGAAAAUUUUCAGAUCCUCAGAGUGAUUAUUCAUCAGCUAGAGAAGAUUAAUAUCUGAUGGUAGACAAAGUCACCCGCUGACCAUAAACAAUUCCGAAAUCAAGUCCGCUGCUGCCCUGGUAAUUGUGUCCUAGACGGACCUUAACAGCUGUAUCAUCCAGAUCCUGCCUUGCUAGAAUCCGUACGUGCAUCUGGUUUACGUUCCCUGAGGGAUACACGCGAAUGUUGCCUUCAGUAAGAACAUCAACACAACCUCCUUCCAACUCAGCCUUUCUUAACAUCUUGAUCAAAGAUCUUGAAGCUUUGUUCCUGAUCUCAGAAGCACGAUAAUACGGUUCAAGACUAUUCUCACCAUGAAGAAAAGGUAUACCACCAGUAGUUGCUGACUUUAAACUCAUUUUCAAUACCAUCUUAUUGUUUCUUCUGAAAUGAUCCCACGUGACUCCACUUUCAGCAGAAACAACACGAUUCUCAUAGGAUGAGUAUCCACCAGAGAGGAAUCAUGCUUCUUUUUAUUCCAAGUACCAUAACCAACUGCUAUGGCUUCCAUGCGAUCUGCCAGCCGGUUCCUCAAGAAACUCAGAAGUUUGUAACCAUCAAUCUCAAACUUCGUGAGCAUAGCUAGAUGUUGACUAGUCGAACACGCAACUUCGAGAGCAGCUUUUCUUAGGACCAUUGCAAUAAGAUCAGAAUAUAUCGGAAAAAUUUUUAGGUCUGAGAUUGUGACGUGUGUGAGGUCCUUCUAGUUAUCUCAUAUAUUUAGCUGGAGUGAUUGUGACACGUGUGAGGUUUCCCUAGUUAUCCCAUAUAUUCAGCUUGAGCUUCAAAGGAUGAAUUUACUCAGUAAACUCGAUCUUAAUCCCCUUUUCAACGGAUCUACUUAGUGAAUUCAAUUCUCAAAGUUGUGUGAAAUCUCAUAAUCCAAACCUUUAUUUAAAUCCUCAACUUCUUGAUCAAAAAUAUUAACCUUUCUUCCAACUCAAUCUUUUUUUCAAGAUCUAGAAUCUUUCUUCCAACUCAAUCUUUUCUUCAAGUUAUUGAUCAAAGAUAUUAAAGCCUUCUUACUGAUCUCAAAAGCAAGAUUGAUGAUUAUUCUCACCAGAAAGAGAAGGUAAAACACCAGCAGUUGUUGACUUUAAAUUGACUUUCAAAAUCAUCUUAAUGAUCCUUAUGAAUUGAUCAUAGAUAACUCCACUCUCAGCAAAAAUAACACGAUUACCAUAGGUGAUGGAUCCGGAACAUAUUCAUCCUACACAAGGUAUGACUUAGCUGUAAAAAAAUAAAAAUCAGAUUAAAUUGUUUGUCAUAUAAUUGACGAAAAUGGUAAAUCUCUACUUCUAAAGAAAAGUAAAAUAGAGACUUAUUUUUCGUGGUUCUCCCUCUGCUCCGCUCCGUCACUCUCUCUCGGAUGUAUCUCUUUCCGUCCGAUCCCGCGACUAUCCUCCAAGCCAUCCCUCCGCCUCCUCCCCUUGCACGACCUGCGAAAGUCGUCCCUCCGCUCGCUCGCCCUGCGCCGUCCCUCCACAUCCUAUCCACGCGCACCCUGCAAAAGCCGUCACUCCGCCUCCUCUCGCUCGCCCUGCGCCGCCGCCCGCCCUCCUCACCUCGCGCACCCGAUAAUGCCACCACCGCUUGCCCUUGUCCUCGCUCUCCUCCGCCGAGGACUCCAUUUGCGCCACCGUUGUGCGCUGCCCCGCCAGAUCCACGGCGGAGGAGCCAAGGGACCCCAUCUGCACCGCCUCCGGGCACCGCCCAACCGACACGCUAUUCCUCUUUCGUUGCCACCACACCUAGUCUGCCAUGACUCUUCCGUUUGCCACCACGUCCGUUCGCUACCACGCUGGUAGACGUCGACCUUUGGGCACUGCUAUGCCGGUCGCACCGCCACCAAGCUCACCGCUACGGUAUUGUCGAGCCUACCGAAAAAACUAACCUCUUUCGCCUAUUUGCACAUCCCCAAUAGUUAGAUCCGUUUUUGGUAGUUGUUGAAUGCAUAGAGGAUAGUAUUAGUGAAUUUGGUUGUGAGAUUAUGAACGGCGGCCUAGAUUUGGCAUCUUUAUUUGGUGAUUAGCAAAUUUGCUCGUGUCAUUAAUCUCCUACUCCUCUUUGAGGUGGUCUUUAUCUCACUACGAAAAUGGCUAAUUGAUUGAUCAGAUUAGACAUGUCCACUAAAAUAGCAUCAUUCCUAUUUAAAUUUUCAAAUAUCUAGAUGUAGUAUUUCCUUUGUGUCACUGAAUGCUGCUUUUCACUUGAGGGAUUUUAUCAAUCUGGCGCGUUUGUGAAUAGGAGGUUCCUGCAUGUUUGUAUUGCAGCAUGUUUGUGUUUGUAUUAUCAGUGUCCAUAGGGCUGAGGCAUUUAAUUUAUCAUAUCAAUUAAGCUUCAAAUGACCCAAACUAAUUACUGUAACUGCUGAUUACAAUGUGAAAAUGCAAUACGACUACAUUUGUUGUUAUGAUUUUUUUAAUACUCUUUGUAGACUAUACAUGACUUUUGGUUCCAUAAUUCUCAUGUUCCCCUAACUCCACAUGCAGUUUUAAUUAUCUCCAAUUUUACAGUCCGUAGAUAUGGUUGUUAUCUUUUUUAAUGUGUUUUCGAUGGACUUAAUACAUAUGGAGAAAUCACAAUACUAGGUCUUAUUUUGCAUUAGUCUACAACCUAACAGCGCUAGCUCGGCUGCCGUGCACCUAAAGGCGCCAUCGGUAGGACAGGCAGCCAAGAAUAUUACUUCAUUUGCCCUGGUACGCACGCAUCUAAGCAUAUGAUCCAAAUCUGUGUGCACCGCUAAUGUCCUCCCCAUCCUGCAGCCAGAUCUAUACCUGAGCAUGUACGUCACUUAGCUUGCAGUUAUAGAUUUUCAGAAAUGUGGUUCUUACCUAUACUUAAGAUAGAAGGAACUGCUUACUACUUUUGGAUUGGUACAGUCAAACUUCAACCAAUGUAUGCGCUGCUCAAUUAUAGCUAUGUAUUAAACAUAUCUGGAGAAAAUUUAUUGAAAUUAUCAGUCACGACCACCAAUGUCUUUUGCUGCUUAAUCUUGCUUGACAUAAAGAAAGAAUAUAAAGGAUUAGUGUUUUGAUUUGUUCUGUUCUUGCUUGACAUAAAGAAAGAAUAUAAAGGAUUAGUGUUUUGAUUUGUUCUGUUUUGCCUAAUCAAGGAUGCCAUGUAGGAGCUGAAUUGUUCUUCCAUAUAUUUUCAAAUUCUUGCUACAAUUUCAGUGUAUGUCACAUGAUGGGUUAUUUCAAUUAUGUCUAAUAAUGGUGCAGCACACGUGACCUCAUUUCAUACUCUGCUCUAAUUUAGACUAAUCGUGUGUUCAUUUUGUGAUGUUCACCUAACGGUAUCAAUGCUUUGUACAGCACUAAUACUACCAAUCAACGGAAUGCAGGUAAUAUCAAUUCCCUCAUUCACCGCAUCAAGCUCAGCUGCUGGUGCGUACUAAUUCUUUUUCAGAAGGGCUUGCUCUUCUAAAAAAGUAUCUCCAACUCCCGUGUGGGAAAAUAUGAAAGGAAGGAUUGCUCAUCUGGAUUAACUUCCUGUCUUUUGCUUUUUGAUUAAUAUGAGCUUUGCAAAUUCAGUUUUGAACAAGAAACUACUUUGAAGCAACAGCAUUGGAGGAGCUGUACGCACGUGCUCCUGAAGAAUAGGCCAAGGAGCUUAUCGCCCAACUAGCAGAUUUCCAGGAGGUACGCCCAGCCUCAAAUAUUUCUCAUACACUUUUUUACAAGUAUAAUGGACACUAUUUGACACUUGAAUCCCAACUCCCAUCUAUUGAUGGCAGUUUCGAUAGUUUGCUGGCAAUAUAGUUUGCUGACAAGAUUUUUUUAUGGCAGUUUCAAUAGUUUGCUGGCAAGACUUUUCUUUCAGAACUUCAGCUUCAGGCCAUUGGAAAUGUUAGAUUCCAAAAGGACGUGAGGUUGCUUGAUUUCUCAUAGUUUGGCAGGCCUCAAAUGCACACAAUUUAGCAAUUAAAGUGUUGAUCGUUGUUGUUCCAUUCCAUGUUUACAGGAUUUUUUCCUGAUAUGCCACUGAAAUUCUGAACUGGUUUCCAUUACGUGUCUUAUCCAAAGCGUUUAGAUGAAGCUCUAAAUUUAGUAGGCACUCAAACUGAUUAGUUGUUCUGUAGAGCACUGAACUGUGCAUAACUCACUUUUAAGUCCUUAUCUGUUCACAAAAGUAGCUGACUGUCUAAUUCAUUUUUGGUGAGUGCAGAACAAGAUGCACUCCAAAUUAUACCAAGAGCAGCUCUCUAUCUUGAUAACCAUGUAGAUAUCUUCGAAUUUUGUCUGAAUUUUGUCAGGAUCAUUGCCCACAUCCAGCCUGAAUUUAGUUUGAUACCAGUGUGCAUUAAUUGAUAAAGUGAUCUACACUAAUAGUCUGCAAAUAGAAUUUUAUUACAUGUAGUUCUUGCAGCUGGGUCUAGGAAGGUACAAAUUUGGCAGGCAGAACAAUCAGCUUAUGCUAUGUGGGCGUCUGAUUUAACUAAUGGCUGGCGCCCCUAUCAUUUUAUUAGUAUCAAAAUUAUUCCUAAAACUAUGAGGAUAAUUAAUUAUGGUGGUGAAUGUAGAUUUUCUCAAUGUUAUUUCUUCUACUAUGUCCUCCCUUUAGCUGACCCUUAGACUAGGACUAUUCAGAAGUUAAAUGGAAGUUCAUGCUCCUAAAUUUCUAACAUUCCUUUCUUGGGCGCACCAUUGGAUUUGAUACUUUGCUGGACCAGGAUGGAGGGUGAGCUGCUAGAGCGAGAUGGAGGAGCAACAGCUAAGGCAACAGUUAGUGGUAAAGAAUUUAUUGUAUGGUAUGAUGCUGGAUGCAUUGAUAAUUCAGUGUCUUCAAUUUAGUGAUUUAGAUGCAGGGAAGAUUGCUAGGAGAUGGGCUGGCGUGGGGAUACAGCUGUUGUACAUAGAGGUUCUGUAGGGCUUAGGCACGAUUGACUCAGUUUCUAAUUUCAAUGUCCAAGGUAAUUCUGUUGUGCAUAGAAGUUCUGUAGGACUAACUGAUUGACUCAGUGUAAUAAAAAAUGCCCAUUGUAAUCUAUGCAACAAGAUCUGAAAAUAGGUGGAUUGAACGAUGAUUGAUGUUUGGAGUUCAUGUUAGCCUACAUGUGCAUAGAACAGUAAUUUGGUUCACUCGCCAAACCUACCUGUUCACCCUGCAGCACUAGAACAUCAACCUUUUCAUUAGUAAGCUGUGCAAAAUUUUCUUACACUUGCAUAACUUUAGGGAGUUUAUUGAAUCAAUAGUCAAAAAAAAAAUUCUAUGCACUAAUUUGGCUUUCUCAGUUCUAACUGAUUUUGUGCCCUUAUUUGGCUUCUCAGUUCUCACUGAUUAGUGAUUAGUUGUAGGAACACUAAUUUUGUCAUGGUGUUUGAUUUAGACCCUUUCCUAUUUACAAAGUGUGGCAUUGUAGCUCCAUCCCUCUUCUUAAUUACUUUAAAACUAGCAAGCUUCUGGAUUCGACCUUGUAAGCUCCAAUGCUCCAGUUAUGCUUCUCUGAAAAAACGGACAGAAUGCAGCAAAACCAUUGGGACCCUUGGCUGUAUUAUUCCAAUUCAUUAAUUGUUUCUAUAUGCAGGUAGGGCGGGCACAUCUAUAAGCGAGAAUCUUAAUUGAUUUUCCUUUGUAAUGCAUAGAUCAAAGCAAGAAAGCAGGAGGAUAACUCUGCAACAAUUUCCCCCUUUGAUUUCAAAUAAACUCUGAAUUGAUACCUCAUGUUCUUCGCUAAACUCUGAAAUGUUUCAUGCUCUCAUAGUUUUAUCGAUGAAAAAGUAAAGUCAUUGCGCUUUGUUACAGAUCCAUGUAGCUGAUGAGUUUUACCAUUUUUAGACCUUGGUUAUGAAAUUUUUAUUUUCAGACCAUGAGUGCACUCAUGCCUGAUAGCCAUGAUAUGAGUAGCUAUUACAGCCUCAUAUUAGGGUCAGCUCCCUACAAUUUAUUUUCAUUCCUAACAAUUCCAAGUGCAUAUUUAUAUAGUAUAAUAAUGCAAGUGCUUCAGUAUGUAAUUUCAAUUCCAAAUACAUGUUUAUGAAUAAUUUCAGCUUAUUUCCUCCUCAUCUGUCUACCAGGUUUUGGUGGUACCUUUAAAAAGAGAACAUGCAUAUAGCAGGCGGUGGUGGCAGGAGCAGGCGAGCGGCUGAUCGAUGGAGAACCAGGAGAGCCUCCACCGCAAUUACUGGACACCAUGGAGCGGCAUCGCAGUUUCAAAAGCAUAUUUUCAAACAGCCUCUAUAAUUGAUUAGUCCGCUCGAUCCGUUGCCUGCCAGUCUGCCUUAGGUCUCUUUGAUCCAACUGAUAAUGAUCACCAUAACACUGGUAUGAGUGCAGGUGUUGUGCGUGUGCAGGAAAAUCUGGAAGAAAACCCAGUACAAAAUUAAGACAACGAUGUCUUAGACAAUGCUGAUAUAUGCUGAUAUCAAGAUUUUGAUUCUGAUCUAAAAUAUUUUUGUUAUGUUCUUCCUAAUUCUUGCCAGAAGUUUACUUACUUUUUGUACUUUUUUACUUUUUGUCUGCGCACAAACAUGUUUCAUCUGCGCACAAAGCGAAAGGAAAUCAGAAACAUUCCUCUCGAUUUUAUCUUAGCCCCAUCACAGGCAAAAAUAUAAAAAAUUUGAUGGGCCUUGGAGACCAUGCAUGGUAUAUCUAGCUUUGUUUAAAUAUUUUUUAAUAUUCAUGCUUAUUUUCACACUAUUACCAUAUAUUGCAAUAUAAAUAUUUUGUAGCCCGUGGCAACGCACGGGCACGAUCCUAGUUAACAAAAACAAUAAAAAAUAAGCAAUAUAUAAAGCUAUAUCCUAAUUAAUUGAAUGCAAGGAUUUAAAAACAGACAACAAAUGUAAUCGGCAAAGACAACGGAUUAACAGAACAAGCAAAGAAAUGACAAGCAAUACAUAAACCUCUCAAAACACACUCAGCAUAAAAUUUUUGGACAAAUGUAAGCAGGAAGAAGGCACACAAGAAAUUACUACCUGGUCCAGGAGGUACUUGAGCCAUGGGGCAAGCUUUGAAGGUGAGUGCACGACGCAAAGCAAAAACAUUUGCAAAGUCAUACUAAAGCUACUGAUAAAACGAAACUGAGCCUAGAUGACUAAACUUCCAUGUCCUAACACACAUCAUUCAGACUGGGGACACAAAUUUUCAAUGAUACAUCUCUACAAUAGCAUUAUAACCCUACAGAUCCGAACAAAAACAACAAACCAAAGUGUCUUGGCAGCAAACCGGAUCUGGCAGAUCCGAACAAAAACAACCAAACCUAAGUGUCUUGGCAGCAAACCGGAUCUGGCAGAGAACCUAAUAAAAAGAUUCAAAUCUAACCAUCAUAAAACUACAUAUCGAACAAAAACAAUCAAACCCAACAAUCAUACGCUGAUCUCUUGGCUCAAAUAUAACCAUCACAAAACUACAGAUCGAAAAAAAAAAACAAUCAAACCCUGAUCCCUUGACCACAGCACAUACAGAUCUAUCAUCGGAUCGAACAGAAGAGGAGUGGUGACAGAAACUCAUACCACAGGAGCAGCCGACGGAGAUCUCGGUGAUGUCGUACGGGCCUCCGGCUUGCGGUGCACAGCAACAACGUCGGCCGCCAACUCGCGGUGCACAGCAACAACGUCGGUGCAGUCGUACCCGGCGGCUCCCGAUGCGCCGCGUGGGUCAUCGCCGCGGGAAUAAUCAAACUUGGGCUCGGUACAAGGGGGAGCACUCUAAGAGAGGAUGAGGAAGGGUUAUUCUCAUCGGCUCUGAAGAUGAAGAAGUUGUGAACUAAAGCUUCAGAAGGCCUUGUGGUGGCGACGCCGAGCAGGGCAAGAUGGCGGUGGGUCACCAGCAUGAUUAAGGGAUGCGCCUCGUGGGGACCCGGAAAGCCCGGUAGCUGCGCGUAGAGGCGGGAGAUGCGCGGGGGCUCAGCGAGGGAGAAGGCGAUGCGGAAGUCGGCAUCCCAGGAGGUGGUGCCGGACGCCCUGAUGGGCACCUCGGUGUCGUUGGGGAACAACUCAUCGUCGUCCCUGCGGAGGAGGUAGGGCUCCACCUUACAAAUCCCCCGGCCGGCAAGGAGAGGGGGAGGCGGAGGCGGAGGCGGCGAGAGGUGUGCGGGAGUGGCUGAGCGGCGGCUUCCGGAUUCCUCCAGAUCCAGAGACCAAAGAGGAUUUAGGGUUACGAAUUGGUGGGGGUGUUCCGGUGAUACGAGGCUUCCUCCUAUGUAUCUAUCGAUGCGUGGCCAGGCAAUCCGUAAUUAACGCGCCCGCGCCUCAGAAACCGGUCAUGACCGUUCGCAUGCCAGGCUGCGUGUAAUUAACGCGACUGCGCCUCAGAGACACCGGUCCGAAGUAAUAAAUAAAAGAUCUCUUUUUUAUUAUAAUAAAUACUGAUGCAUUCAAGAGAUGAGAGGCCUGCUCAAGAGCUCCCGUCAAACAAUGGCGCAACUAUGUUAUAGAAAAAAAAAUUGGCAACUACGAGGCCAUCCCUUGGCCGGAGUGUUUGAUCUUCAGUCCCGACUAAAAUUCAUGUCAUAACGAAUAUUUGAAAGCUAAUUAGAACUAAAUAUGAGCGAAUUAUAAAACUAAUUACACAAAUAAAAGCUAAUUCACAAGAUGAAUAUAUUAAGCCUAAUUAAUCCAUCAUUAGCAUAUAUUUAUUGUAGCAUCACAUUGUCAAAUCAUGUACUAAUUAAACUUAAUAGAUUCGUCUUGCAAAUUAGUCUCCAUCUAUAUAAUUAGUUUUAUAAUUAGUUUAUAUUUAAUACUUCUAAUUAGUAUCUAAACGUUCGAUGUGAUAGGAAUUUUUAGGAGAAAUUAAAAAACACUCCCCAGACAAUGUCAGUCUCGGUACCCACCGCAAGACAUAUACAUAACAAGACGCUGGUUUUUAAGCAACGGGUACCCACCGAAAGCAACGGACUCUUUGCGUCCGAUCGCCGGCCCAACAUGGGAGGCACGAGCCACGCUCCGCCUCGCCUGAACUCAUGCCCCGGGGUCGGGCGCCCCCGACCUCCGAAAGAACGAGCUCCGCCUCACCCGACCACGGGCCUGGGGUCGGGAGCGUCCGACCCCCCGCCACAGGCCUCCGCCUCGCCCGACUCAGGCGUAAGGGGUCGGGCUGCCUCGGGCUCUCCAGACUAGAAUCCGCCUCGGGCGUAGAUCCCGUGGGCCCCCUAUCGAUCUCGCCAUAAAUGCGCCGCAGAGCUGUCAGGGAGAGGGAUAUCCGCGCCCCCACACGACCCGCCGCAAGUACCCAUGCGUGGCCGUACAGUACUUGCUACAGUAGCUGCAACCCCCUCCGAUUGGCCACAGGGCACUCAUGACCUGCACCGCCCAGAGUAGGAGGAAGCCUCGCCCGCUCUCGUGCCCCGCGCGCCCGACGGCAAAGAUGAGAUGUCCGCUCUCCGCGGGCCGUUAGCAAGAUGGCAAGAUUCGCCGCUUCCCCCCAACGGACAGGGAGGUCACGACGAAACGCCAUCAUCCCACCCGACGGCUACAGUCGCCGAGGAAGCCAUCGACAGGACGCAACGGCGGCCAACCUCUUCCGACAAACGCGUCAGUGGAAGCCGAAGGCCGGCGGGGACACCGGCGGCCUGGGAACUUGCUUCCCCCUUCGUGUUGUAUUUUUUUACCUAGCCAUGUUUAUCUCUUUACCGCUCCCCACACUCGGUCUCGCCUGUAAUCCCGGUGGCCUCCUUACGCUAUAAAAGGAGAAUCGGGGGCCGGAGACAGGGGGGGACAGAUAACUCAAAGGACCCCAACGCUUCCUAGCGAAGUGAACACACUCACACCCACUUAGAGCCUCAGUGCACACCCAAGAGACCUGGAAUCAGCUCCCUCCCUCGCACUCCUGUAACCCCUACUACAGAACCCCGCGUGGGCAACACGAGCAGCUCCUGAUACUGGACGUAGGGCGUUCCUUUGCCCGAACCAGUCUAAACCCCGUGUCUCCCACGCCACCAUCCGAAGCCUUACGCGCAUAAAAGAAAUUUACUAGUCUAAGCCUUGAUCCGCUAAUUUUGACAACGACAACAUGGAUCAUGAUGAUGAUAAAGAUUUGGUUUGAUUUCUCCUGCUUAUUUUUAGCACCCGUCACAUCGAAUGUUUAGAUACUAAUUAGGAGUAUUAAACGUAGACUAUUUACAAAACCCAUUACAUAAGUGGAGGGUAAACGGCGAGACAAAUCUAUUAAGCCUAAUUAGUUCAUGAUUUGACAAUGUGUUGCUACAGUAAACAUUUGCUAAUGAUGGAUUAAUUAGGCUUAGUAGAUUCGUCUCGCCAUUUAGCCUCUACUUAUGUAAUAGGUUUUGUAAAUAGUCUACGUUUAAGGGCCAGUUUGGCAGGGCUCCGGCUCCGGCUCCGUGCGCUUACCGAAGCACGGAGGAGCCGGAGCCGCACCAAACGGCAUUGACCGCGAAGCCAUUUUUUGGCACAUUUGGGAGGAGCCGGAGCCGUUUUAGGCCUGCAUGGAGGAGCCCAAAAAAGUGGCUCCGCGGCUCCGGCUCCGGCUCCGCACGAGGAGCCCCUCGCGAGGAGCCCUGCCAAAGGAGCCCUAAUACUCCUAAUUAGUACUUAAAUAUUCGAUGUGACAUGUGUUAAAAAUAAGUAAGGAACCAAACAUCCCCCGAGGCAAGGCGGGCGUGCGGGCAGGCGGGACCAAGAUUUUUUGGAGCAUUUACCCGGUGACCGUGAGGUGGACCGAGCUGGGGGUUUGCCCGCGAGAAUGCCAUCUUCCGCUUCCGCCCAACAGAGGAUAACAAGAGAAUCCGAUAGUAAUAACAAGUGUUUUCGUUUUGCCACCAACCGCUAGCAUCGUUUUUUUUCCCGUAAAAGUUGAUUAUCUCUUUUGUCGCAAAAAAAUAUGUCGUCGUCGUCCUUCCAUCCCCAAGAGUUAAAUAUGAUUUUUGAAGCGGAUUCUCUUGUUAGUUCUUAAAUAUGGUUUUGAAGAGUUAAAAAAUAUGGUUUUAAAUAUGGUUUUGAAGCUGAUUAGUUCUUAAAAAAACUUAAUCAACAAGAAUUGUAUGUUUCUAGUUAUAGUAAAGAUGUACAUGUCACGAGUGUUUUUUUAAUAAAGACUAGAUGUAUGCCGCUUCGAGAAUCGAAUUUUUUUCCAACAUAAUAAAAGGAGCAUGAAAAACAUUAUUUUGCGAUCACAAGAAACUAAAUCUAUCUGAUUUUAGUAACAUGUUUUGUUCAUCCAUAUUGGCAUACAUAAGCAUAAGUUUACCUACAACGCCGUCAAAGCAAUCAUAUAAGCAAUAUAAAAAAACACAAUUAUAAAGUAAUAACCCAAGCACACCUUAUAUAUAAAUUGUUGACUUUGUAACCAAAGAGAUGUUGGCAAAAGUACUGAAACUAAUCACAGAACCAAAUGUUAAUUUUAAUAACUUGGGCUCAUCUAUCAGCUUGGACUUUGCUUGUACAUAAACUUUUGUGGCCAUUGCAUUGAUCGAACCAUCAAGAUUUGCAAGAUAUAAGUUACUAUUUGUGAAGCAAAAUUCUUUUCUACGGGAGAUUGGGUCUGACCUAUGUCUCAAGCUUUAUUAAGCCAUAAGAAAAUCAAUUUACAUCAUCAUGCCACGCUCCCAAAAAUGUUGACCUUUCACCCCACUGGCAAAUACUGACAAUCUAUAUGAUUACAGAGUUGUCCCUGCGACACUCUUCCAUGUAAUCUCGCCAUCGCCGACACCCACAAACCCUCAGGCGUGACAGCAUAAAGACUAGGGGUUGUCUGGGAGAAGGGGCUAAACUUUAGUCCUAUCACAUCGGAUGUUCGGAUACUAAUUAGGAGGACUAAACAUAAGCUAAUUACAAAACUAUUGCAGAACCCCUAGGUUAAAUCGCGAGAUGAAUCUAUUAAGCCUAAUUAACACCACAAUGUCAAAUCAUGGACUAAUUAGGCUUAAUAAAUUUGUCUCGCGAUUUAGCCUAGGGUUGUGUAAUUAGUUUUGUAAUUAGUCUAGAUUUAAUACUCCUAAUUAGUGUCCAAAUUUAGCCCCCUCCUCCCAAACACCCCCGUAGCAACAUACCUAUGUGCAAUUGGCGGUGACUGUCCAUGCAUGGCAAAAACAGCAUUUGCAGACAUCUCUGAAAAUUAAAAGCGCCUUCUUCUCCUCGUAGUAACCGCUACCUCUGCUCUCCAUUGCACUCACCAUGGACUUCUCGCAGAACUCCAUCACAAGAACUGCCUCCUCUGUGCGCCCCAUAUCAAAAACAUCAUGUGCAACAAGUGUGACCACGUUAGGAUGCCCUUUGAGGAGCUUCGUAACAUGAAUAUCCUUCAUGACAAGAUCAAGCGAUUCCUAAUCAUUGCAAAUAAUGUGCAUCAGCUGCUUGCGAGCAUUUGCUGUAGAAAACUACAUCACUUAUAACUUGACUAGACAAGAUCUUUUGCAUCUAAAAACAUGAACACACAACACCGUUCGACGAUCCGGCCAUCUUAGUUGAUGCAGGGCUGGUGAAGGAGAUGUAGUCGUAGUCCAUAGAUGAUCUCGUCUUCCCUCCGAUCUCCACCUCGUCUGUCCGGGGAGGGUGAGGGUGUACUGGCGGCGGCCUUCACGGGACUCCAGUGCCGCCAGGGAUCGGGUGGCGUUUUGGGGGCGUGCGUGGGUUUGAGCGCGUUGGCAUCAUCCAAACCGAGCCGGCGCCCCCUUUUUAUUGUGGCGCUGGGUAACCUGGGGCCACAACCAAACGUGGGUCGCGUCUCCGAUCAAAGCGCGAUGGUGGGCUCGGGGAGAUCGAGUCCGACUCAUUUUCUUUCUUUCUCGUUUCUCUUUCUCCCUACCUUUUGACUACCCAAAAUUUCCAACAUUUGCUUCUGCCAACUGCGCAGACCAUGCCCUUCUGCAUGGUGCGGAUGCAGAAGAAGCAGGCGCAGCCCCAACCCUACCCCGUGCUGCUAGAGAUCAUGGAGCACGAUGGGUGGAAGCUUGUCGUCGAGGAUGUGAUUGGACACCCUGAUUAAUCUACAUGUUGGGGUUGCUGAAGAUCGCCCUGAUCAAACUGUUGUUGCAAUGCAAAGGAUCACUUUGGACGGUAUUCUGAUGGUAGCCGUGCGCAGGGGUCUCAUGCCGAAUCGGUAGAGCAGGCGACAUCUGCUGCCUAGUGCCUAGAGUGCUUGUUCGAGAUCCAGUUUAUUUUUUCUGAAAGAUGGAGGAUGAAGUUUUUUAUAUAAAGGAAUUAAAAUGCCAACCUCCACACUGACCAACGAGUGUAUAUAGCCUCCAUUACAGACUAAAAGUGGUACUUAGACUACAAAACACCAUAUAAAAAGGUUUCAACAUGAACGCUAUGAAAGAAAGCUAAGCUUCAAUGCUGAACUUCCAACUAAACUCGCUGAAGAGCUCCAUAACGAUAGUCUCCAAUUUCCUACAUCUCUUCUUCAAAAUGUCUCUACAUCUCUUCUUCAAAAUAUCUCUCUCUUCCUCUAUAAAUAACAGUGACCAACUUCGGAUCCAAUAAGUCCCCUGAAAAUAACCUGCAUGAAAGAAUUAAGUAGUAGUUCUAUUGAAAACCAUAUCAUUUCUACUCAACCAAAUAGCUCAAUAUAGAGCCACUGCACCUACUAAAUUUGGGAUUCUAAGCUAAGAAGAAAAACCUUUUGAGCCAAGAGCCAAACAUAUUAGAUACAUUUGAAGUUGGUUGAAUAUUACAAGUAAUGCAUAUGGUAUUACAAAUAAACAUAGCCAUAUGGCAAUCAAAAAACAAGUGAUGUCUACUUUCAUUUGCAUUGACAAACAGCAAUUAACUAGGACUACCUUGCCAAGUCUCUUGGCCAAAUUAUUUUUAGUGAGAAUCACACCUUUUUUCAAUACCAACGGAAAAUUUUAAUGAUACUUUGCAUCAUCAAUUUUGGAUUCCAAGAAAUCAUGCAACUCCUUGAAUAUGUGAGGAUAAGAAAUCAUAGGAAUAAGGACCAGUAUGUAUUGGAAAAAUUUCCCAGUACUCAAAGUGAUUAAUUCAUCAUAUGGUAGACAAAGCCUUGCACGAACCAUAAACAAUUUCCAAAUCAAAUCCGUUGUUGUCUGGUAAUUGAGUCGGAGACAAGUCUUAAUAACAUCCAAAUCUUGCCUUAAUAACAUCAAUUAAAAUAACAUUUGAGUUAACUUAUAUUUGGUACAUUAAUUUACAUACCAAUUGGAAAAAUAAAAUCGCCAUGCUCUUAGUUUGAAUAGAACGUAGUCCACUUUUCUUUCCAACUUACAAGAGUUUUAUUACACCUGAAUCAUCUCCACUUUCCAAUGUAUCUUCGAUUCCACUGUGCUAGUUUGGUCCUUCCAAAUGGGAAAAUGAAUAGUUCUCUUUUGCAUACAGAGUGAAUAUAGCAUGUAAAUGACAGAUGUAUUUGAGCACUUGCAUUACCUCUCUCAUAUCAGAUUUUGGCACACCAUGCCUAGUGUUCUGAAUUCUGAUGUAUAGCAACGGGUUUCUGAUCUUCUGAACAUUGUGAGAUUCUACAUACGGCUGUACUCUCCCUCACAAUUGCAAAACACUUGUCCAGCUCUCCACAUUCAGACUGAAUCCUCGCAACUGAACAUCUGAAAGUACUCGGAUCAGUGUUGCAACCAACAGGUGUUCUUUUGACAGGGAAGGUUCCCUUCUUGGUUAUGGUUAGCUUUGUUCCUAAGCACGAUGAUGACGUCCAUACCAAUUUUGAGACAUCUGGAAUGUUGUUCUCAAGUACCAACGAUAUUCUUUUGUGAUCCCAGUGAUAUCAAAGUGUAGUCAAAUAUUUGUGUUGCUCCACGAGCUGAAAUUGGCUUGAAUCUGGCAUAGUUUUGUGGUAUUUCUCCAUGUCUAUAUAGAAGUAAAAAUAAAUGCUUCUUCACGUGACAGCUAUCCCUUUUGAUUUAUAUGGAAAAUAGAAACAAAUGCUUCCAGGUGCCCAUGAAUUUGAUCCGACCCGCAUUGUUUUGCACAAGUUAUCCCUUUUGAUCAUCCCGUGGCUCCACUGCAGGAGGCAGAGGAGGAGAGAAGGAUGGAUGAGAGUGGCGGAUGCUGCUCUAUACUGCAUGCUCAUCAUGGUGUCAGAGGAGAGGAGCAUCACUGCAUCAGGUGUCAGAGGAGAGGAGCAUCAGGUGUCAGAGGAGAGGAGCAUCACUGCCGCCGGCCAUGGCAGGUUUGUCAGUACCACGCAAGUUCUGAUGUAUCACAUACACAGCAGGUUAUUGGUUUUCUGGUUAGUGGAAUUCUUUGCCCGCUGCCUCAAAAUCGGUACAUUGUACUAGUUGAUAUUAUUUCUUGCACAUGUCAAGCUAUCCUGAAGCUGGCAUAAUUGUGCAGCUCUCCACUUUCAGAAUGGAUCCAAAGCUGAACAUCUGGAAUGAUUCGGAUAAGAGUGUUGCAUUUGCAACCAACAACUGUCAUGUCCGUACAAUAUAUUUAUGGGUUCAGAUACUCAACCAACCAUUGUGCUUCUGUGCAUUUCCAACAAAAUGCAUGCUUCUGAAAAUGUGUCCAACCAUAUAUCGUUGCUCAAGCUUUGCCUGGAUUGGCAGUUAGAAUCUCUUUCAUAGGGAAGGUUUCCUGCUUGGUUAUGAAUAGCUUCGUGUCCCUAAAACCAAGCAUGAUGAUGUUGCUCAUACAAACUUUGGGACAUCUGGCGUGUCCAUACAGAUAUUUCUUUUGCUCCAAAAGCUGAAAUUACCUAGCAUACUUGUGCAGUACACCUCCAUGCCUCUGUAAAACAGAAAGGAGAGAUUCUUCAUCUUGCAGUGCACAUAGCAUUUCUCUGUCAGACUGCAUAUCAGUUUCCUCUCUGUCAGAUUGUAUAUCAAUCUCCGAAAAGCUUCUGCCAGAAUGUAUCAGAACAAAGAUUCCAAGCCUUUGCUCCGGUGGUACAUAUAAAAGGGCAGCAUCAUCUGAAUGCCACCACACAAAGUAAGCAGUCAGUAAACAGAAGAAACCUCAAGUCUCAGCUUCUGAAGAAACGAUCACCGGUAAACAUAUCACUACUUCAAGUCUUCAACUUUCCCUGCAUUUGCUUUCAUCUGCACUCUUUUCUGUAACACAUCUAUAUAUGCUGUUCCAAAAUGAAUGAUCCUCUUGAACAUUUGAUGGCUCUACUGCAGAGAGGAGAGGAGGAUGAAGGUAGGAGAGUUGCACUGCGAACUGGAACUCGUACAAGAGCAAGCACACUUGACAAGUGGUGGUUCGUGAGUUGCCAGUGAAUAGUGAGGUCGGUCUCAUCCCAGACAGAGUUUCACUGCAGUGCAAUGAAUUGACUGUUUACAGUUAUCGGCGACAAUAAUACAAGUAGAUCAUGCUACAUUUCUCACCCAGUCUGGUGCAAACACUGGGCAACUUAUUAUGGCAUACAUAUAUUCUUUACAAUUCUCUUUCUGUCUAAUUUACGCUGAAUGCAUGUGUCGUCGACAUAUUAAAGGACGUAAUAAUCAGGGGGAGGCACGAUUUGAGGUAAGGGAAGCAAUGAACAAAGCAAAGUAGAACUCAUAACCAUGUGAUUAUAAAUUACCUGCGGCGGUGGCAAUUUGGACAACGGCAGCGGCGUGGCUGCGGCGACGUCGCGCAACGUCUCAACUCUCAUAUCCGGUCUCCCAGUAGCCCGUCCGGAAGUACCACCGUCGAGUGGCCGCGGUGUCCGACGAACUGGCAAAGGAGAAGAUCGAAAGACCGAAGAUGAAUAGUCGAAUGGACAGAGUCACAACGCUUGAUGCUUCUUAUUCCAAACAAUAACGAAGGGAGAAGGUGAGCUGUAGAUAGGCUUAAAUGGGUUCCUUCUUAUUAGGCCUCUAAAACAAUUAAUGUUUGGAAUGAAUGGGAGGAGUUGAGGAUCUGAACAGCUAAUACGUACAUGUAUAUUUAUAUCAGAAUACAGAGGAUCAGUAGCGCGUGAGGGGUGCCAGGCCCCUCCCCCCUCCCUCCGCCGCUGGUAAUAAUAUUUUGACUGAAUGAUCAAAAUUACUGAGCCUCCGGAUACUAGCAUUGCGCAUCGAUUUUCCGUGCCUCUCUUCUUGCUGGACUGGCCUGGUCAAGCCCAACAGGCCGAGGCCCAAGCGUAGCCCAACAUCACCUCCCACCAGUGUUCUCUCGCUGACUAGUGGGACCUCCCUCUGCUCCGCCUUCUUCUUCUUCGUGCUCUUCCCCUCCCGCGGCCGGUCCGCCGGUGGAUGCGCUGCUCCUCCACCCCGCUUCCUCUUUCGGUGGCGGAGUUGACUCAAGAUAUUAGCCGGGGCAGAACUCAUCUUGACCUUGCUAGCAUAGAUGCCAACCGCUGCCGCUCCACGACGUCGUUGUCUUUGCUGCCUAGGAGGGGGUUGGCCGGUGGCCGGCGAUAGCCGGAUCCCCUGGAGCACCAGAGGUGGUGGUCGGCGGCUGUUGCAUCGAGCAAAGGAUUGGACGGUGAGCAGCAGACAGAACACCUCAAGUUGCAGUUUCUCAAGAAACAAAUCCUUGGUGAGCAUCUCGUUUCUGCAACUGUCCAGAUUCUGCGCAAUCAAGAGCGUGGAUGCUGCGGUCGGUGGCAGCGAGUGCUCCAAGAUCUGCCUCGCCACCAUGCCGCAGUCGGUCGUUUCGUGUUCGUAGGUCCAGGCGUCCAGCGACAUUGUGCUGAGUUUUCAUUCCCUCACAAAUUGUUUUUCAUGUGUCAUGGCCAACUGUGAUGCUGGUGUAGCUGCAGCAUGUGCUCAUGACUGCACAAACAGCAGGAGCCGUUGCAAAAACAAACGCAGUUGAGAUGUGAUGAAUAAUGAUGCCUCGUGUAUAAGACUGGUAACGGCCUUGUAUACCCAAGGGCCGCACGGGCCUCCGAACUCAUGGGCUGUGAUUUACGGAUUCUACAUAGGCUCGUGUAGUGAAGGGCCGAAUCAAAUCGGACUCCUUGUUAAAAGGACUAGAUUGUAGCUGUGGCUCGAGCUCAACGUGUGGAUCGUGGCCCGCGGAUCAGAUAAGGGCCUUUAUGUUAUCAGGUCCGCGGAAAACAGCGAGGGGCCGGCGGCGGCGUUGUAUACCAGGCUUAUACGCGAGAUGGUAGCAGCGGCGGCGGCGGCGUUGCGGGGUGGCCUGCGACUCCAAGAUCCGGCGGCGGCGAGGGGCUGGCGGCAGCGCUGCGAGGGGCCGGCGCGGCGCUCAUCUCCAAGAUCCGGUGAGGGGGGCCUGCGCGGCGCCUCGGCCGCGCCGGUCCCGCGCCGCCUCCGCGCGCGCCUCGGCCGGUACGAACUGUCCAUACUCGUCGUUUCUUGUUCUUUUCUCUCUCCCUUUUUACCGUUCAGAAUGUGCUGCUAUUGUGCUGCUAUGCACUUCCUAACAGAACAGAACUUUCAGGCUAACACGCAGUUCUGAAUUGGACCCCUAUCAUUCAUUUUUGCUGGUUCCUGAUAACUGCACGAUAAUGACCGACGAAAUAUGUGUUGUGCUAGACUGAAUCAACACCAAAUCAACCAUGUACAGCCGUGUGGUAUAUGCUCGUUACUGAAUUUGCUUUUGUGGUGUUUCAUUCUGCACAGGCACACAGCUUACAUGCUUUAGUCGUAGGCUCAUAGCCACUUGGCCAAAUUCCGGUGAUAUAUAUUCAGUAGUUCUAAUUUUUUAUGUAAUAAUUGUGAUUCCUUUUGUCCUGAUGAUGCAGGAUGACGAUCACCGGUGGUAGUUCCUGGACGGCGGCGACGACAAAACAAGCGGUAGCCUGCCUUCAGGGUUACGCAACAAUGGAGACGCACGCUAUUCUCUGGUUGAAAAGAAAGGAAACAAAUAGCACUUUGGUUUCCGGUCGAAGAGAACGUCACCCUCCGAUGUCUAUAUUAGAUACCUGAUUUCGGACAACAUAUUAUGGAAACAUUGGGGGGGGGGGGGGGGGGGGGGCGCUUCCGGGAUUGGAAACGUUUUCAAUUAUCUAGGAUCUUUGUACUAUAUUUAUAGUAAAAUGCUCGUGCGUUGCUGCGGUAAAAGGUUAAUUGUGUUUUUUAAAUUAAUGAUAUUCUUUAUUUUCAUCACUAAAUUUUUAUUCCACUUUGAUGUCUACAUAUUUAAUAGAAAAUCAAAAAAAUUUGACUUAAUAUUCCCUCAACUCAAAUAUCCAUUAAAUUAAAACAUUUUUCUAUUCAAGUAAGAGACCACUGACAGGUAGAGAUGUGCUUUAAAAUGGAGAAAAAUGAAAAAUAAUAAAGAGUGAAGUCGGCUGAGACAAGCCUGAUUUUGAGCCGUCUAACUCCUUCGGCCCAUAACAGUGCACAACUUUUAGCUAUUGGAUGGAAUUGACGGCUGAGAUGAUCCGCUCAUCUCUACUUAAUAUUAAAGCGAGUAACAUCUGCCAAAUUUUUUCGUCUGUCUACAGUAAACCGAAAGAAAAUCGUAGAAAACCAACAUAAAGGAGUGAAAACCGGACAAAAACCAUCUCACAUGAAUCGGAGAAAAAAACAUUUUUUCAAUGUUCAUUUUUGGUUAGCAGUAUACCUCCCAUCAGAGGCUUCUAGAAGGAUCUCCGAGAUGAGAUCUUCAACGAUGCGUGACCUAACUAAUUGAUGGCUCGCAGAGCUUGCAAUUUGCAAGGUAGCUAGCCAUUGGCCGAAAUCCCAUCGACGAAAUUACUAAUUUACCUUUUUUUUUACCCCUACAAGUACAUCCGCAAUGCUGAUUCCACGCGUGCCCGUAAGCUCGCUUGCGGCAGGUCGAUGUCCACCGCCCCUCCUCAACAGACAAGCACAUGGUGAAGCCUGCACACCUUAUCACUUUCGUAGAGUGCAUCACCUCCUCUCUUCUCUCUUCCAAUCCAAAUCGCUCCUCUCCAUGCUCAACCUCCUCGCCCUUAUGUGGAUUCAACGAGCCGGCCGCGGCGAGCUCCUGUCCCUGUUGAGCAGCGGUGCGCCCCUCCGGGGCGAGCUCAACCCUGGCCGGGAGCGGUGGCGUGCGGCCCCCCAAGGCGAGCUCACCCGCCUAGAGCGGCGGCCCGCAGCCUCCCGAGCGAGCGUGAGCCCCGGCGAUGAGCUUCGCCACCUGGAGUGCCGGUCCAAGAAGGCGAGCUCCGCGGAUGAGGCGGCUCGGGCACGGCCGGGCCCGAGGCGGUUGGCCGCAAAGCUGCGUGCGGGGGAAGAAAUGAACACGGAGAUGGAAAGGGAGCCAUGCCGCGAACGGAAUUAAAUAGAGUGAAAUAGAGACCCACUUGUCAAUGACAAAAAUCACAACAAAAUAAUGAUUGGACCCAUCUGUCAAUGAGAUUAGGUUGGACCAAACCAAAAGGUAGGUAGAAGUGUUCCUCAUAUAGAAUAAUAUAAAUAAUAUAUAAUAUAAUAAUAAUAUAUAAUAUAAAAAUAAAUAUAAUAUAUAGAUAUAGAUAGAUUAUCAGUUUUCCCAUCUCAAAGCUCAAUGGCCCAAACUGCAUACAGCCUUGUAUACAAACAAGUAGCCCAUCAUCAGUGGCAGUGGGUCAACAAUUUCGGCCGCGAGGAAACGAAUUAGGCCUGGAGCAGGCCGUGGGCUGACCCAUUCGAUUUCUUUCAAUAGGUCGGUAACCGACCAAUAGAUACGUAGGAAGAAGCCUCGUACCACCGGAACACCCCCAACAAUUCGCCGCUCCCGCACACCGCCUCCACCUCCCCCUCUCCUUGCCGGCCGCGGGUCUCCAGCAUCUUCGUUGGUAAGGCACCUCAUCAGUCAUCACUGUUAGCUUCGAACCGGCGUUCCUGAUGCUCGGCAAGCUCGCGAUGGCAAUCGCUGGAACACAGAAACACUAAAACUCAAGAACACUUGGAACUCGGAGGUUUUUGGUGCUGCGUAACGAACUGCAGCAUUUUCUAUGUAUUUUCUUUUUAUUCUGUGAAUACAAAGAAUAGGUCCACGCAGUGGCCAGCCAUGCACCAUGCAGCGAGCACGUCCAUCCCCGUGCCCACGAUGCCGCUGAAUCACCGGUGAUCCUAGGGUCGUGCGCGAGCUAUUCUCGCCACCCCUUCCUACGCGCACGGUAGCCACAGGUUGGUGCUCGUGCGUAUGCAAUGCAGAAACAGAACACAUGCAAAGCUAACUAACUGACCGACUCGUGCGCUAGGAUUACUAACAAUCACCUUACACAUCCCCCGAGGUUGGAUUUCCCCUGGCCCUUCUAAUUUAAUUUCCCGGUCUGCUGCUGUCUCAAGGUCGCCAUGUCCGCCGCCGCCGCCGGGGGGUUCCCCAAAUGGGUGCUUCUGGAGCCCUACGUCUUCCGUAGGGACGACGAUGAGUCCUUCCCCGACGACACCGAGGCGCCCAUCAGGGCGUCCGGAACCACCUCCUGGGGCGCCGACUUCCGCAUCGCCUUCUCCCUCGAGGAGCCCCCGCGCAUCUCCCGCCUCUACGCGCAGCUGCCGGGCUUUCCGGGUCCCCACGAGGCGCAGCCCUUAUUCAUGCUGGCGACCCACCGCCAUCUUGCCCUGCUUGUCGUCACCACCAGCAUCACCAUGACCACCACCACCACCAUCACCCCGAGACCUUCUAAAGCUUUAGUCAGAACUUCUUCAUCUUCAGAGCCAACGAGAACAACCCUUCCUCAUCCUCUCUUAGAGUGCUCCCCCCUUAUACCGAGCCCAAGUUUGAUCAUUCCCGCGGCGAUCACCGCCUACGUCGUCGACCUUCCAAUGCUACUCCUACUCCCCGCCUGCUGGAUAUGAAAUCCUUGGGCCUAUGGUGCGGAGACAAAGAGGAGUUCGUGGUGGCACAGAUACCCACCAUUGACCGCAGCCGCACUGAGGCCUUCGCUGACAUCUGCUUGCUGCGCUCCUCCUUCACUGACGAUCAGCUUGGAGGCAAAUGGGACUCCAUGCGUGUGCCAAUCCUGUCCACUCACAACCCCUCUGUUCAUGAUCUCUUGAAAGUCUCCCGCUCGCAGACCACCGCCGUCAUCCCCUUCCAACGAUGGCUGUGCUGGAUCUAUAGCCGAGGCAUACUCUUCUGCGACGUGUCCAAUAAAGUGCCCGCCCCUACCGCCUCCUUCCUCUGGUUCCCUGUGGACAAGUCCCCUCUUACCAGAACCCGCAAAACCACAUACGACAUCGGUGGCGUGUCCGUCGUCGACCACGGCCGUUUGCUCAAGUUCGUCGAUGUCGCCCGCCAUGAUGGCCUUGCCUAUGGAGCGCUCGAACCCGGCACUGGCUUCACCAUCACCUGCCACACCCUCGUGUUAGGCGGCAGCAUGGCGUGGAAAGAGGACUACACUGUCACCUCAGAUGACCUCCCUGACCGCUACCAACGCGGCAUCCCCAUGCACCCUCAAGUCGACAUUGACAGGCCACAUGUAGUGCACUUCCUUUUCAUUGAGUUUGGAAAAGCCUACGAGAAGAUGUCGGUGCUCUCUAUAGACAUGAGCACUAAGACCGUGGAGUCAUUUUAUCUGUAUAUGGAUGGGAAUGAGAUCCUUCACGACUACAGUGGGUGCCUUCAACCCGACGACGACAUUGACUUCAUCAGCUCAACGUCCUCGUAUCCCACUCCCUUGCCCUUCCGCCCUUGUGAGUUCCCCAGGUUCUGCUAUUUAUCAAGGUAUGUAAUAUUGCUGCUGCCCUUUUAUAAAUAACUCAAUAGAUUUUGAUUCUGCCGGUUCCAUAUUUGAAUAUUGCUGCUGCCCUUUUAUAAAUAACUCAAUAGAGAUUUUGAUUCUGCCGGUUCCAUAUUUGAAUAUUGCUGCAUAAAUUAUGCAAGUUUGUUGUCCAUGGCUUCAAUCUUGCAUUUUUGGCAUUUCAUAUGUUGUAGUGUAGCCUCUUUCUCCAACCUGCAGAAUACUAGCGAAGCCUGCAGCCUACUAAACAUUUGAGCCUUGAAGCUUAUGAUUGGAACAUAAGAGCUGCCUGCCAAUAUAUGCCUUCAUUUAUAUGCUGUUGGAAAUUACUAGCAGUUGGAACUCAAGUAUACUACCAUUUAACCUUCAAUGUUGUCUGUUUUUUUUUGCAAUUCUUUCCUAAGUAAACAACUUACUUCACGAAGCGCCGCCUUUGCAUUGCUAAGCCUUCUCUUGGUCGCAGUACAGAAGCAAGUUUAAUUUGAACAUCAUCCAUCUAGUUCAUUUUUAAUUCGUCACAGUAUUUAUUUAUUGCAGGAAGAGGAAGGAUAUGGAAUGAGUCACGUCUGCCAAUACUUCAUCCUACUUGUCGUGCUUUCUUCUAAAUGGUCAAAACUGAAGAAAGGCUUCUGUCCUGCGCCCGUCAACAAAACUGAAGGAGCUAUUUCAUGUUAAGUUGUGGCCCAGGAAGCAUCUAUCUUAUGGUCUUUACUUUCAUGAUGUAUGAAUGGAUAAGUUAGUUGUAUCAAGUUUAUUGUGUGUUCUGUAGGUUCGUCAAAAAAGAAGUUCGUCGUGUGUCCUGCUGUUUUAAGUACAAUCUUUAAUUUGUGUCAUUGUGUGGAUGUGCCACUUGGUUCUUGAACUUGCAUGUGUUGUACCAAGUCUGUAUGUGAAGUUUAAUCUCUAAGUUUGCUUGUGUUUAAUUUACCACGCACGAACACCAGAGAAAUUAAACGGCAAUACUGGAAAUCAAGGGCAUGUUUCAAUGUUGGCCCCAAGUGGCCAAGGCAAAGCAUGGGCCGAGGCCAAAAUUUGGCAGCUGAUUUGGCUGCCCCCAUUUGGCCAGUCUUCGCGCAAAAAUAAACUACAGAAGUCCGGUCAAGCCAAAUCGGCACCAUCAUGCAAACAUUGCUGAUACCCACGGCCAAUGGCCAAAUUUUGGCCGGGCCACUUGGGUUGGCAUCCAAACAUGCUCCAAAUAAUGCACAUCCAUGAAGGCCACUUGACUAGCAAUCAGAGGAUAAACAAUAGACUAUAACCUUUUGCUGCUGGACAAAAACUAAUAUUUCAUAACAGGAAUUUAGGAAUAUCAAUAUUGGCACUGCUCUACAUCAAAUUAGGCAGCAUAUAACACAUAAUAAUCUGUAACUGUUUACAACACAAUAAGAAGGUGAGGGUGGAAAAUUGACAUUUAAUUUACGAUUGGGGGGUAAAAGGAGAAAGAUAUAUCUUCUUCACCAUGCUCUGGUUGGUGUAGCUACAUUCAAGGAGUUCAUAUCUAAGAAAAAUCAGUUGUACCCAUAGCAAAGUAGAAAAGGAUGAGUCUGCCAACAGAUAUUUUUGCCUGUACCCAGGACAAAAAAAAAAAGGAACCAUGCACAACCAGGAGAAACGAAGAGAAAAGAUUGGCUUGCAAACUCACCAGGUAAGUAAACCAGGUACUUGUGUAAGCGAACAACACACCGCAAAUAUCUUCUGAUCGAAAAGCUGCAAUUAACCAAAGCAAUCAACCAAAAAGUUAUAUUAGUAUUUAUGUCAUGACAGUAAAGCAAAAAGGAUAGGAGAAUACUUUGCAGUAUUAAACUACAACACCAAGAUAUUUAAGAAAGUAGGCUGGUGGUAAUAUAUAACUGAUUCACGAUGAGUCAUUCGAGCUCACUUAGACUUAUCAGCAGCAACAAGACCACCAAAUCUUUAACGGCGCAAGAAACACAAAGCAAAGACGUGAUUCCCUCUCGUCGAGCGAAGCCUCCAGAAUGAAGAAAACAUAGAUAUUCUGAAAUUAGCAGUGUUCUGAAUCCCGGGUCCAUACAAAAUUACAAAAGAGCAUAAUCAUUUCGUUUUCAGUAAACAAUGGAAACAAUGGAACAGUACGAUCAUUAUUUUGACCCUUUGCAAAAGAUCAGGCUGCCUGUUCAUUUGAACCAAGAUCAUUCUACAUUUAAUUUUCUUUUGUGCAUAGGGGAGUCAUGAAUCUAUAUAUAUGUAGGUGAAAAGAAAAUAGGAUUUAGAAUAUAAUCAGUUUUGAACGUGAACCUGCAGAAGCUAUCGACUGAAGAUUGAAGCUUCGAAUAAAAAUCAUCUAAUUAGUGCCCUCGAAUCAUAGCCCUGAAGAUUGAAGCUUCAUAUAAAAAAACAUCCCAUUAGUGCCUUGGUUUGGAUUUCAGCUUGACUGCACCAUUAAUUCGGAAUAAACAAUAUUACCACAGCUAGAUGACCUUGAUACGCCUUUCUUCUUCAUCUUCUUUCUCUAUUUUACUUCCUAAACAGUGUUGGUUUGACCUUCGCAGUGCCGUCUACUUGUCCACCCUUUCACCAAUGUCAUCCUCUCCACCUCGCUGCACUCUUCUUCUACCUGACAUUGCCUGCCUCUAAAUCUACACUGACGUAUCUCAGCAGCCAUUUCUUCUUUUCACCUGGACCUGGGCACCUGGCACUGCAACAGCUCAGGUUGCCAAUAAUAGGAUUCCAAUCGAAGUGGUCUGUACAGGUUAGAGGGUAUGGGAGGUUUGGACUUAAAUAGAAUCGGAUGACCAAACCUAAUUGGAUGGCAAAAGCAGGUGUAUGUGCACCUUGUGUUGGAGAUGAAUGAACAGAGAGGAACAACAAGAACUCACAGUACAUAGCGACCAUCAAGGUAGCAUGUCGUGAAGCUGAAAGCCGGAACGGGUACUCGCGCUGUCGCCCAGUCUGCAAGCCGGACCUCGACGGGCAUCACUUCUCUAGGCCGCUGGAGGCGUAGGGCAUGGCGAGAGGAGCAAGCUCUGCAUUUCAACAGCAGGACGUAAUAAUAUUUUGACUGAAUGAUCAUCUGCCAUUUAUCAGAAUUACUGAGCCUCCGGAUACUAGCUAGCAUAGAUGCCAACCGCUGCUGCUCCACGACGUCGUUGUCUUUGCUGCCUAGGAGGGGGUUGGCCGGUGGCCGGCGAUAGCCGGAUCCCCUAGAGCAUCAGAGGUGGUGGUCGGCGGCUGUUGCAUCGAGCAAAGGAUUGGACGGUGAGUGCUCCGGAGUCUGGCGUCAAGCAGACAUGUGGGCCUUCGACUAAUUGGACCUAAUGCCAAACAUAACAGCUCGAGUACUCACAGGCCCAAUUGGCCCAUAAAGCCACCUACUCCUAUUCUCCUUUCUUCUUCCUUGCCUCAAUGCCAACUCCGGCGCGUUCGUUUCGAUUGGAAGCGGCAAGAUGUCCGGCGAGGAGGAGAACGCUGCCGAGCUCAAGAUCGGCGAAGGUUCGCUCUCCUUUACCUCUCCCAUUCUCCUCCCCCGUUUUCCCUCCCCAAAUUCUGGGCGGCGAGGAGGAGGUGGCGAUCAUCCUGGAGCACAAGUACGAGCAGAUCCAGCAGCACGUGUCGGAGUCGGACCCGUCGUCGCAGGUGUCCCAGGUGUUCGAGAAGUCACUGCAGUACGUGAAGCGCUUCAGCCGCUACAAGAACCCCGAUGCCGUGCGCCAGGUCUGCAAGACGCUCAGGCGCUACGGCCUCGCCGAGUUCGAGCUCUGCACGCUCGGCAACCUCUGCCAGGACACCAGAGGCGAGACCACCGCGCUCGUACCAUCCCUCAAGUCCGGGGGGAGGUUCGUCGGCAAAGCUGGCAAUGAGAAGAUAGAGAAGAUGCUCACCGACCUCUCCCUCAUCAAGAAGUUCGAGUAGAGAGUGCCAUGGGCGUGCCUUAUUCAGUUCUUCAGUUUCCCUAGCUGUGUGUGUGACCUGUGAGACUUUUCUUAGCAGGUGACAAUGUAGUAGAAUUCCUACUGAUCAUCAAUGUUACAGUUAGUCAACUUGAUCUGCCUCGAUCCUAUAUUCUUGAUGUAUCGUUAUCCAAGUUAAAAGUCCAUAUGCUAUACUCUUUGUUUGAAAUUCUGCACGAAAAGCCAGAAUUGAGCUGAAAAGUAAUCCUUUGGUUAUGGAUGCUUCCUAAAGGUUUGGUUUCCACUUUCCAGUUCUCUGGACUUCUCAUCUAGUAGAAUGCUACCUCCAGUGUUAAAUGUUGGUAACUUGGUAGGAACAUGAAGCAUGCAACAGCUUCAAUCCUCUCCAGCAAGCCUUAGAGUUGGAAUCCAAACUGAUCCUUAUUCUGAACCACAUCCGUGAUGCUUACAGUAACUACACAACACAGAAUGCAAGAAGCUCAUAUCUUACAUGCAGUCCCUGGUGACUGUGAGACUUUUAUCAAGAGAGACUUCCCAGGUGAAGAUGUACUAGAGUUUCUAUUGUUCAUCUGCUUUCGCAUUAUCUUGAUCUAUUCUGACAAGAGUCCCGAUCAUGAUCUGUUAAGAGAACCUUGUUCGUUUCAUAUGUAUAUGAAUAUGAUUGCAUUUUGUUCAUAAUUCUGCACAAAAAGACCUCCAUUCAGUUAAUUGAAUUGAAGAGCAAGCCUUUGACGAAUGCUCUCAGGUAAAGAGAGCAGCUUUGGUUCUCUGUUCUCAUGUUCUGUGAUGCAAUCUAUAUUACUGAACAUACCAUACAUAUGAACAUGAAUAGAACACCCUGCAAUUCAAGCAGGCAAACUGAGCCUGAUUCUGAACUUCACGUCACAAUGAUUUCGAGACAUCUGUAACACUACAGUAACUACACAGCGCAGACACCAAGAGGCACACAUCUUAUAUAUAUAGUUACAAGUGAUUCAUUCUCCUUCUGUCACAUAUCUACUGAAUCAAUCCAAAUGGACGAUUCUAUAAGACAUUUGAUAUUCAUUUCACUAGUAGACAGUAACAGGUGACAAUGCCUCAUGGCCAGGAGAUGCUGGGGGAGAAGAAGCGCUAGCUUGCUUCCUACGAGCACCAGUUCCAGCAGCCAAAUGAAGGCGGUACCCGACCGGUUCUCCUGAUGUGUUAUGCCUACUCCGCUGUCCUUGCUGCCGCGCGGUUCCUUUUCAGCUCCGCUGCAGCACGCUUCUCAUCUGCAUUGUGCCUUGCUGAUGCAAGCUGGGUCAUCAGCUUGUCUUUAGCACGGGCACGCAUCCUCUCCACUUCAACCUUCAGGAACACAAAACCAUUAGUGCUUUGUUGAUAUGUACAAUGGAACAUCCACAUAAUCGGUGUUAAGAAAAUCUGAAUUUGCAAUUGGUUUUAUAUGUUCUGAACCUGAACUUCUCGGGCAUAUGGUGCAAGAGAAUAGGGGCAGCAGAAUAACAAACUAGAAUAAGCUAGUGAACUUGCCAUACUAUAUCUAAAUGAGACAAAAUAUUCUUAACUUGCUAUGUUGCAUCCGAAAGGCUUUGUUUUGUUGAUAUGUCGUAUUCAAGAUUAAAUGGAAUUAUGGAAGGACAAAUAAGCUAAUACCAAGUGUUAUGCUGAUGCAAGAGAAAAAUCGUGCCCUGUUCAGAUAGGCUGAUGCAAGAUUAAAGGACAAUGGUUCUAAGUGUUGUUUUGGGCUAAUUUUUUUUUCCUGUAAUUAUGGUGUUAUUACUUAUUUUGUCUUAGGAUCUUUAUAUUCUAAUUGUCAGUGGCAGUGGCAGUGACCAGACGAUCGAAUAAUUUCAUCCUCAGCAAAUUGAAGGAAAGCCCUAAAGGGCAAUGAUACGCAUUGAAUUAAGAUAAAUAAUAGCUGGAGGAGGUGGUAAGCUGCAAAGUUAGAGCUGUUGCAUUUUAACACCAUUCCUGCCCAUGCAUGUCAUUACCAUUUUCAUUAAUUAGAUAGAUGCGUUGUGUUUGUGGGUAACCGUUAACUCAAAUGAAACUAACUAACUGCAGACCGACUACUCUAGCUACUUUCAUUGGUCCAUGGCAAAAAGAAUAAACUACUACUAUUGUAAUGAACAAUUACAUACCGAUCCUACACAUUCCAUCUUGUUUAUUGGCUAGGAAUGGAAACAAUUACAUACCUCCUUUUGGUGUCCUGGCCACUAACGUCACGAUGUCGCUGGGGCGGCACAGGGUACGGGUUGGGAGCUCGUAGCUGUUGUAGAGUCAGACACAAAUAAAUAUAUGAUCCAACAAGUCUUUUGCUGCAUGCAGCUAGUUCAAUGCAGUGCGUGCAGGGGGUGAGUGUUGAAAUAUGCAAUGCGUAUUUGGAAUAUUCUAGAAGAUUGUGGAGAUCUCAAGAGACUAACUUUGCCAUAUAUAAGGAUAAGAUCAUGGCAAGGUAAGAAGGUUCUAGAAAAUUGGAAAGAAUACAUGAGCCAUAAUUGUCAUGCUUCAUGGUGAAGUGUAGAAUACUCAAACUAGAUAUUUUAGUAUGGUAGAAAUAUAAGAAACUAGAUAAGGAUGAGGAGGGUUCUAGAGUUAGGAUAUUUUGUAUUCAAGAGUGUGAAAAUUGCCACAUGGCAACAUCACAAUGAUCAUGAACACUUAUAAAUAGAGGUGCUCCCCUCCCUCCUAACCGAUUUUUCAACAGUGAGCGAGGCCAAUUAUUAGCAUAUACAUGCAUAAUGUAGUAUAAUUAAUAAAGACUAGAUAGUCAGCUGAGAGACACGACUUACCGAAAGCCUUUGGGCUUAUGACUAUAUUUGCAUUAAAAGGCUAAAGUUUAGCACCAACUCAACCAAACAAGAGAGUUAAUCGGUGGGUUAAACUUUAGUAAAACUUGAAAAAUUGUAAAAGCAUAAGCUAGGAUAAACUUUAGUUAAGCUAAAAAAGAUGUAAAAGUAUUAUUUAGGAUAAAAGGAUUCUGACUUGUCAAACUAAUAGCUUGGAGAGCAGCAAGUUGAGGACCUGUGACAUGAUGCUGAUUCUGGGUUGUAUGGGACCUCAUAAUCCAAGCCUAUAUUGAAAUUAUAGGUCUAAGUAAGAAGGUCACUUUCUUGAACCCCAACUCUCCAAUCAUUACCAAAACUAGCAACAACUGCAUCACAGAUGGUAUGAUACUUUGAAUCAGCAAUCUUGGAUGAAGAGAAAUCAUGCAACUCCUUGAAUAAGUGAGGGUAAGAGACCAUAGGAAUAAGAAGCAGAUGUAUUGAAAAAAUUGCACAGUCCUCAAACCUAUUACUCAUCAACCAGAGCAGAUGAUCCAUAUCUGCUCAAACCUAUUACUCAUCAACCAGAGCAGAUGAUCCAUAUCUGCUGGUAGCCAAAGCCUCCCACAAACAUUAAACAAUUUCAAAAUCAAAUCCGCUACUGCCUUGUAAUUAAGUCGUAGACGAGCAUUAAUUGAUGCAUCAUCCAAAUCUUGCCUUGUGAGAAUAUGGAUGCAUCUCAGCUUUACCUUCCCUGAGGGAUACACGCGAGAAGAUCAACACAACCUCCUUCCAGCUCAAUCUUUCUCAAAGUCUUGAUCGAAGAUCUUGAAACCUUCUUACUGAUUUCAGAAUCAAGAUAAUAAGAUUUGUAACUAUGCUCACCAGGAAGAGUUGGUAUACCAUCUGUGCAAUUGGUUUUGUAAUUAGUCUAUGUUUAAUACUCCUAUUAGUAUCUAAACAUUCAAUGUGACAGUAUUUAAAGAACCAAAAUGGAGGUGCAUCUGAAAGCAAGUUGACAUCUUAGGACAAUUGUUCUUUUUUUUUUGUCAAUUCAUUCUGGUCUGCACUCGAGCUACCUAUCGAUCUCACAUUGAAUUGCGGCACACAAGAGUACAAGAGAAACAACCAAAAGACGUUGGUAAGCCAACAAGAGGUAGCAUGUGUCCUACACAAAAAGAAUUCACAGAUCAGCAUAUGCUAUAGAAAACAAAUGGACCAAAAUCACAGCAGGCACUAGCAACAAAAUAGAGGGGAGAGGUUACCUAGGAACAUUAAGAGUAAGUCAUCAAGCAUCAGUUGAUUCAGAUCAUAUCCCAUCCGGUGAAGAUGAAUCUGAAGAUCAAUCACAUCAACCUCAAACUGCGUGAGCAUAGCUGGAUUCUGACUAGUCAAACACACAACUUUGAGAGCAGCUUUCUGAGUACAUGUGACAUGACGCUGAUUCUGGGAGUUGCGUGGGACCUCAUAAUCCGAGCCUCCAUUGAAAUUAUAAGUCUCACAAAGAAGGUCAUUUUCUUAAACCCCAACUCUCUAAUCAUUGCCAAGACCAGCAACAAGAGCAACAAAGAUGGCCUGAUACUCUGAAUGAUCAAUCUUGGAUUCCAAGAAACUAUGCAACUCCUUGAAUAUGUGAGAAUAAGAGAUCAUUAUAAUAAGACCAACAUGUAUUGGGAAAAUUUUCCGGUCCUCAAAGUGAUUAUUCAUCAGCCAGAGAAGGAGAUCAAUGUCUGAUGGUAGACAAAGCCACCCACUGACCAUAAACAAUUUCCAAAUUAAAUCCGAUGUUGCCCUGGUAAUUAAGAUAAAUAAUAGCUGGAGGAGGUGGUAAGCUGCAAAGUUCUCUACAAUGAUAUUCAAACUCCCCUGUGAUUAAUAUUUUUGUUAAGCUUUGCUACUCAACAGCUGAACAACUUCCCAUGCAGGGAUUAUCUAAUAUACGCAUCGUUCUGCCAAGCUGUGGUAAGAAGAAUAAAAUAAGGAUUCUAAAUAUUACAAAGGAGAGGAAAACACAUCUCAACUAAAAGAGGCAAACUGGGCAGGGAUCCAUGGCCAUGGUGACUUUGAAUGAAAGGAAAUAAGAUGCUUACUUCAAUUUUUCUCAUUUCAGCUUCAAUUUUGGCCUUUUGAUGAUCCUCCCAUGCUUGGAUCUUGAUCUCUUCUCGUUUGAACCUUGAAAGCAGAAGGCACAGCAUAUAAUUAAGUCACCAACCAACCAGAGAAUUUAAAAAUGUAGAUGUAAGACACUUAGAUAUAAGCACCUGGCCAAGUAUUUGGCCUUUUCCGCUUCCUCCCAAGCAGCUGCACGCCUGCACGGACUUCAGUUAUGUUCUGUGUUGAUUGGUCCAUGGGCACUGUUUUCAGUGCAAGGGAUGCAUCCUUUUCCUCUUCCUUCUUGCUUGCCCAUACUGCAAUAUUUGUCUUACCAAGCUGUGUGCCAAGAAGCAUUAUCUCCUUCCUAGUUUUUGUUUGCAGAUCCUGUUCACUUAAUUCGGCAUUGCUACAUUCUCCAUGGCUGCUAACAGCUCCAACUGCAUUGGGACCUAACGUCCUUCGUGGAGUUGUUGGCCGAGAACAAUUUGGACUUGUUGCUCUCACUGGUGUUCCUGUCCGGGAUGGUUCUUGGCUUGCAAUAGGAGUCAUUUCAGUGCCCAUAUCCCUCAUUGAUACUGACCUAACUGUUGAUGGAGGAGGUAUGCAUGUUGUUGCGCUUUGAAGUGGGGUGGAUGAAUCAUUACGAUCAAAAGUAACUGCACCCAUUCAAAAAAAAUCAACUAUAAGGAAUUUGAAUAAUCUUCGGUUGCAUUUGCACCUUAAUUACAACAUGAGAAGUGGGGAGACUAGCAUUUUUUCAAUGAAAAUACGUGUCACAACAUGUUCUAGCGUUUUUGAGGUUUGGUUAAUUAGCUCUGAAUAUUCUUCACUCUUAUCAUGGUGGCGGGCGACACAAGUGUUGGAGCUGCCUACCUUCCGAGUGCAACUUGGACUCUGAAUGCCGAUGAUGCCGUCCCAACCUUGCCUUCCACUUCUGCUAUCCGGCAGAAAGGCCUCCUCGAUCUUCCGGCCAAUAUGGCAAGCAUGAGUCACGCUACACUGAGCAUCUUUGCACUAUACCACUGCAUGUUUAUAAAACGAAAGAUGGCACUUCCUUGUCCUCUUGGACGAGAGGUCGCUGCUAAACCAUACUGACUCCGCAACUAAAUGCGGAUAUCUUUUUUUUUUCUAGAAUACGCAGGAGAGCUGCGUAUCUUUGUAUUAAGAAGAUAAGAAAAUUUUCUUACAACGCGGAUCUACCAGGCGCACGUACACGGCUAGGAUACGGUGUUACAUGAUGGAAGCUGAAACAAGCAAAAGCACACAACUCAAAGGAAACAAAACAGCCAAGAUGCAGGUUCAAACUGUCGGCCAGCUGAAAGCAGCAACUUGCUUUGCGCCAGCCGCGCUCCAGAGGUUAGCCUCGUCAAUGAUAUCAGCAACCAGUUGGAUGGGCGUUUUUAGUGCUGCUCUUUGGAAGAUCCGAUCGUUGCGCUGCUUCCAAAUCCUCCAGGACACUAGCAUGAAGAUUGAGUCCAUUCCUUUUCUCUUGUCAUCGCUGAUCCUCUCCCUUUUUUCCAGCCACCAAUCUGACAAGGAUUUGUUUGGCGACGGCGGAGUGUUCUGAAUGUUCAAAGACAGACUGAGAAUGUGCCAUACUUGCUGCGUGAAGCUACAUCUCGCGAGCAGAACCAGGCAUGUAUAUAUGCAGUGUUCUGAUAAUCACGUGUGUCGCUUUCGACUUGACCCUUUACCAGAGCCAUUAAUUCUCGAGCUGAAUGAUAAAAAGCCGGGCAAAACCAGGCAUGUAUAUGUGCAGUGCAAGGUUCCAAAUCACUGGUAUUUCUUUCUGAAGAAAAUGCCAAUGCUAUUAAUUUGGGGAAAAAAGUUUUGGUGACAGAGAUGAUUGAGAUGAAAUUAGCCAUGUAAAUUGAGGAAGAACGUAGCGUUGACGCUCGUUAUUGACACCUAUUUGAAUAGUGUUUUCAUGCAUAUUCUUGUACUGACCCGCCACUUGGCACCUGAAAUAACCCCAUAUUCGUAUGGGUUGUGUUUUGGACUAUAUUGCAAAAUCACAGAAAAUAUGACAUAAAUGAAGGGUUUUUCUACAAGUUGAAUUUGAACCUAGACUUUGAACAACACGAGAAGUCUACACGGGAAAGACAAGGAUUAGCGGAGACCAAAAGAGGGUAGGCUGAUCGGCCCAGGACACAUAGGCCGAUCAGUCUGGACCGAUUCACUGUCCAAAUGUAUCCACAUUCGAUGAACCAUCAUUCAGAUGACUUAGAGGCGAAGUAUGUAGUGAUUUGGCAAGUCAGUCUCGUGGUCAAGCUAAGGGAAACUCAAGGCUGGAAGGUCAUAAGGCCCGUAGAAGCAGCAGAACUUGCACAAGGCAUCUCCCUCGUCCGGACUCCGAUUGGGACAAAUUUAAUGUCUAAAUUGCAUAGCUCAAAAAGAUCUACAACUUUCAUAUACAAAGUUUUGGCAUCUGAGGCCGGGAAGGAGGCGAUAUCGCCUAGGCUGAUCGGCCCAACGGGCCCAAGCCGAUUGCCCUAGCCCGUUUCUAGUCCCGAUCGAUGUGCCCUUGUUGAUGGCUGUUAGCAUGCCAAGUUGUGAACCGCAAGCGCACGGAUCAGUUGUAAUUCUCCCCCUCAGAGUACUCCCCCAUGGUUUAUCAAUUCAUGGAAUUUAAAGUACAAGAUCUAUUUUAACUAGCAUUGUUAGUAUGGACUUUGUAUUGAUGAGUGAUUCAGAUCUAAUCUACUAAACAUGUACAUACAGAUAUCAUAUAGAGUAGAGAUAACUAAUCUAGAGUAACCUAGACUAUGCAUAUGUUGUAAUUCCGAGCAUAUGUUGUAUUUUCUGCAGCAAUUGUAGUCUUUAAAUAAGGCUCCACUUCUGGAUAGGGAUCAGGUGGAGCCCAAUUUACAGCUUUCUGCCACCCAAUUUCCCUCUUCUCUUGGCUUGGAUCAAUCCUCUUAGUAUCUAUCUCCUCCGUGGCCUCCAACACAACCUUUGUUGCUGGUAGCCUCCCAAUGCCAGAGCUAGGUUUCUCCAUCUUCCAGGGUACUGCCCCACCAGCAGCCCUGCUAGGACGGUUUGUUGUCGGGCUGGCAAUCCAUUUCUGCACAUCGUCCCACUUUGAUGGAGCAGGCUUUGAGAAGGGAGGAACAACUGAUGCUGCCGCUGACCGAGCGGACGUCCCUCGUUCCUUGUGGAAUUCAAAGUUAGAAGCCACACUCUGAGUCACACGAAUCCUCGUCGGGCACCCUGACCCUGAAGCCAUGGAGUGGGUAUCUCGCGACCGGUGCCCACCCCCUGUCUCAAGCGAGGUUGAAGAUUCUGAGAUGGUGCUCACCACAUCUACAUCUCAAAGCCCAAUGGUCCAAACUGCAUACAGUCUCGUAUACAAACAAGUAGCCCAUCAUCAUCAGCAGCGGCAGCGUCAUGCGACAUAUUGUGUAUGGGUCAAUAAUUUGGACCGUGAGGAAACGAAUUAGGCUUGAAGCAGAGGCAAAAAAUGUGCCAAUAAAAGUAGUGACUUUUUUUUAGUUAGAAAAAUCCAUUUUUACUAACUAUAACGAAAAAAGUAGUUAACUACUGCUUAACAACUUAUAUACAUAUAAAAAAAUAUCCUAAUAUCUUUUUCCUUCCUUGAAUCUUUUAGUUUUAGUCAUUUCAUGAAAAAUUUUAUACUAUAAAUUUCUUCUUAUCCAUAAUGGAUUUACCUGGACCAAUACAUGAGAUUCUUGUGCUAUUUGGGGGAUUUAUUCUUCUACUAGGGGGUCUUGGAGUAAGUAAUUAUUACUUACCAACCCAAUUUAUUCAGCCUUUUCGCUGGGAUUAGUUCUUGUUUGUAUAUCCUUAUUCUAUUUUUUAUUGAAUUCCUACUUUGUAGCUGUCGCACAACUUCUUAUUUAUGUGAGAGCCAUAAAUGUCUUGCUCGAAAUCAUAAACUUUGAUCUUAUGAUAUUGUAUUAGUGGAUGACACUGCAUUUCAAGAGUUUAGAGUUUAGGUAUAUAUAUGGCAUCCGAUGCAUUUCAAGAGUUUAGGUAUAUAUAUGGCAUCCGAAGCCAAGUUUAAUGAGUAAAAUAUGCAUUUUGAGAGUAUAGGGACUUAAGUGACACCCGAGCCCAAGUUUAGGGAGCUAGAUAUGCAUUUUUUGAGAGUACGGGGGUCUAAGUGAUACAACCGAACAAGUUGAAUGACCAGCCAUGCAUUUUACUCUAAAGAUAUUGUUCCAUGAGGCAUCAUUUACCGUGUCAAUAGCUGUUCCGAAGAGCUGGAACGCCCUGCGCUUUUCAGGUUGAUCAGGAAACACCUGAAAUCGACUAGAAGAGAGCAAACGAGCAUGGUUUUGCACUUCUAGAGCGUAUCUGCAUCAGUGAUGGCGUAUGAAGCUUGAACUUACUAUACAGGACCUAGUCCUCUUGAGCUCUUUAAGCUUCCUUGCAACAACAGGAGCAAGCUGGAUGUUGGCAUCGAUGAACUCAUCUGAGGAUCCCUACAGAAGUAAGCAGGAUGAUCAGAAACAGUAGUAGGCCAAGUACCAUACAUAUGUAAUACAGUAAUAGCAGAAAUCGACCUGGUCUUUUCUGGAAAAAAAGAAGUGACAAAGGCUAGCAAAAAAUCAGUAUUGUUGAUAAAAAAUAAACUCUCCCAAAUCAGAAAUGCAUACUUCAACAUUGUAGUAUACAGAUUACAGAGGUAUCAUUCCCUGCAUCAAUCGUAUGCAUCUCUAAUUCGAUAUAAUCAAUCAUCGUACGUCAGAAGUACAAAGUUCAUAGUGUGGCAACAAUUGGUGCCAAAACUAGUAAGAAGAGAUGACGCAGAAUGAGCAUAUUGUGAUGAGUAGGUGUACCUUGUAAGAAGAGAUGCUGCUUGGCAGAGGCCUUGACAUCGUCAAAAUUCAGAAGCAGAGCCACCCACGAACAAGGCGUGAACCAGCAAGGAAACGAGCGAUGAUGAGAAGAUAAUGCGGGCACGGGGACAGCGACGCAGCAAAACGAAGAGCGGCGAGCUGGGAACUCGAUCUCGAGGCGGGUCUUGCCGUCGUCGAUGGCGCAGGCGAGGGAGCGCGCGGCGUCGGAGACGAGCACGUCGUAGGAGCGCGGCUUGUACACGGACACCCCGGCCCUGAGCGCCUCCACGUCCCCCAUGCCGGUCCCCGUCCCCGCCUCAGCGCGUGGGGAGACGGCCAGGCGGCGGGGCCGGAGCCGCGAGGAGGUGGCCGGCAGUCGGGGCGGAGAGGGAAAGGAGAAGGGCACGCGCGGCAGGCGGAAGUGCCGGGCGCAGAGAGCCGUGGGCGCCGGGGCGGCCAUGGCUGUGCGAUCCAGCAGCGUCGAGGAGGAAGAUAGCAGACGACAACACAGCCACACGCUGGCGCGAGGCCAAUCGAAGCUACUGUCUUCGGCAGGUGGGGCCGAGUCAUUGCAAAUGAAGCAAAAGUCUCGUGCCUCCCGAGUGCGAAGAGAGCAUGAGCUACACCCCCACUUCUGUCCUCGACUCAAUGCAUUCGCGGCAAGCCGGCGAGACGAUUGGAUUCCUUUUGCAUCGAUGCUUGCGCCAAUAGAAACAAGCACUUUCUUACAACGUAGUACAAACAUCAGGAUUUUCUUAACCAGCAUCGUCAAGCCCACGUCAGUGGGUGUCACCUCCUCUGCAAGCAGCACAAAGUAAAGUAAAGCAAUGUAAGUAGGCGUCACCUCCUCUGCACGCAACACAAAGUAAAGUAAAGCAAUGUAAACAAAUACAUUAGAGUAUGCAUAACAAAAUUGACUGUUUCACCUGCUACCUGCCACCUAUGCACUAACCACAUCACACCACCAAUCGUAAGGGUGCCCCGGAUGAUGCUCCCCACCACAAUCCCAGCCAACAUCCCACCAGACAUCUAGCAGGCCGCUGCGUCUCGAGCGGCGGAGGGCUAGGCGGUGGCGGCUGGCGGGGCGGAGGAGUUGGGGAUGAUGGCGGUGGAAGGGGAGGAGGGGUAUCAGCCGGUGGUUGCAACUGCCUCCUUGCGGCUCCCGCACGUGCCGUAAAGCAUCCACACCGAGUCGUUGCUGAGGUUGGCUUCGGCGAAGGCGCUGUACUCGCCGACGUUGUAGAGACAGCCGCGGUCUGGGUUGUCUACAGUGUCCAGCAACGCCAAGCAGCAGCCUGGAGGAGGAACGAUUGUCAAGAAUGUACACUGCUCCGCCACCCUCGCCGCAAGAGUAGAGCUGUUGCAUUUUGGCGCUAUUCCUACCCAUGCAUGUCAUUACCAUUUUCAUUAAUUAGAUAGAUGCGUUGUAUUUGUGGGUAAUAGUUAACUCAAAUGAAACCAACUAAAUGUAGACCCACUACUCUAGCUACUUUCAUUGGUCCAUGGCAAAAAGAAUAAACUACUACUAUUGUAAUGAACAAUUACAUACCGAUCCUACACAUUCCAUCUUGUUUAUUGGCCAGGAAUGGAAACAAUUGCAUACCUCUUUUUGGUGUCCUGGCCACUAACGCCACGAUGUCGCUGGGCCGGCACGGGGUACGGUUUGGGAGCUCGUAGCUGCUGCAGAGUCGGACACAAAUAAAUAUAUGAUCCAACAAGUCUUUUGUUGUAUGCAGCUAGUUCAAUGCAAUGCGUGCAGGGGUGAGUGUUGAAAUAUGCAAUGCAUACUUGGAAUAUUCUAGAAGAUUGUGGAGAUCUCAAGAAACUAACUUUGCCAUAUAUAAGGAUAAGAUCAUGGUAAGAUAAGAACGUUCUAGAAAAUUGGAGAGAAUGCAUGAGCCAUAAUUGUCAUGCUUCAUGGUGAAGUGUAGAAUGCUCUAGAACAAGAUAGUUUAGCAUGGUAGAAAUAUAACAAACUAGAUAAGGAUGAGGAGGGUUCUAGAGUUAGGAUAUUUUGUAUUGAAGAGUGUAAAAAUUGCCACAUGGCAACAUCACAAUGAUCAUGAGCACCUAUAAAUAGAGGUGCUCCCCUUCCUCCUAGCCGAUUUCUCAACAGUGAGCGAUGCCAAUUAUUAGCAUAUACAUGCAGAACGUAGUAUAAUUAAUAAAGACCAGAUAGUUAGCUGAGAGAGACGACCUACCAAAAGCCUUUGGCUUAUGACUAUAUUUGCAUUAAAAGGCUAAAGUUUAGCACCAACUCAACCAAACAAGAGAGUUAAUCGGUAGGCUAAACUUUAGUUAAACUCAAAAAUUGUAAAAGUAUCAGCUAGGAUAAACUUUAGUUAAGCCAAAAAAGAUGUAAAAGUAUUAUUUAGGAUAAACUUUAGUCAAAUACAUAUUUGGUCAGAUAUAUGCAUCAUUUUGACAAGAUGUGGUAAGAGGAAUAAAAUAAGGAUAGACAUUCCAAUGGAAGUUCGAAACCAUAGACAUUCCAACAGAGACCAUAAGCAUAGCAGUUCUAACUACCACUUGCAUCACUACUACUACCAAUUAGGGGGUCCAUUCCUACAUAAACAUAGCAACUCAAACUACCACCUGCAUCACUACUACUACCAAUUAGGGGGGUCCAGUCAUAGGGUUCUGACUUUACAUGUAGUCUCACACCAAAGAGUACGACUUUACAUGUAGUCUCACACCAAAUAGUAUCCAGUAGAAUGCCAAAAAGCUAGCGAGGCACUCUACCACUUAAGUCUUGCUAACUGCACUCCUCAGCCACCAUCUCUGUCCUACAAAAACAAAGAGUGCAGAUCAAUACACAGCAUAGGAAUUGGACAGCUCAUAAUCAUAGCAGAGGUUACCUAGGAGAACAUUCAGAACAAGUCAUCCAACAUCUUCGGAUCAUAUCCCAUCUGGUAAAGAUUAAUCUGAAUUUCCGCUACAACUCGAGGAAACUUCACUCUAGUGACGAUCUCAGUACUGAUGGCAGAGAAAUCGUACAUCAUCUGAUUCCAAGUACCAUAAAUAGCUGCUAUGGCUUCCAUACGAUGUGCCAACCGAUUCCUCAGGAAAUUCAGAAGUUUGUGACCAUUGAUCACAUCAAUCUCAAACUGUGUGAGCAUAAAAGAAUUCUGAUUUGUCAAACUAACAGCUUGGAGAGCAGCAAGUUGAGGACCUGUGACAUGAUGCUGAUUCUGGGAGUUGUACCGGACCUCAUAAUUCAAGCCUAAAUUGAAAUUAUAGGUCUCAGUAAGAAAAGGUCACUUUCUUGAACCCCAACUCUCCAAUCAUUGCCAAAACUAGCAACAACUGCAGCACAGAUGGCAUGAUACUCUGAAUCAACAAUCUUGGAUGAAGAGAAAUCAUGCAACUCCUUGAAUAAGUAAGGGUAAGAGACCAUAGGAAUAAGAGCAGAUGUAUUGGAAAAAUUGCACGGUCCUCCAACCUAUUCCUCAUCAACCAGAGCAGAUGAUCCAUAUCUGUUGGUAGCCAAAGCCUCCCACGAACAUUAAACAAUUUUAAAAUCAAAUUCGCUACUGCCUUGUAAUUAAGUCGUAGACGGGCAUUAAUUGCUGCAUCAUCCAAAUCUUGCCUUGUGAGAAUAUGGACGCGUCUCAGCUUUACCUUCCCUGAGGGAUACACACGAACUUUGCCUUCAGUGAGAAGAUCAACACAACCUCCUUCCAGCUCAAUCUUUCUCAAAGUCUUGAUCAAAAAUCUUGAAAACCUUCUUAGUGAUCUCAGAAGCAAGAUAAUAAGAUCUGUAACUAUGCUCACUAGGUAGAGUUGGUAUACCAUCUGUUGUUGAAUUAAAAUUCACUUCCGAGACCAUCUUAUUGUUCCUUUUGAAAUGAUCCCAAGUGACUCUCCUGUGAGCAAAAACAGCACGGGUCCCAUUGGGUGAUGGAUCUAGAAUAUACUCGUCAUACACAAGGUAUGACUUUGUUGUAAAAAAAAUAAAAACCAGAUUAAAUUGAUUGUUAUAUAAUUGACAAAGAUGGUAAAUUAACAAAAACAAUAGAAAAAAUAAGGAAUAUAUAAAACUAUAUCCUAAUUAAUUGAAUGAAAAAAUAAGAAGGCACACAAGAAAUUACUACCUGGUCCAGGAGGUACUUGAGCCAUGGGGCAAGCUUUGAAGGUGAGUCCACGAAACACUGCAAAAAUAUUUGCAAAGUCAAUCUACUGAUAAAACAAAACGUAGCUGAACCUAGAUAUCUAAACUUCCUUGUCCUAACACAUCUACAAUAGCAUUAUAACCCUAAAGGUAGCCAUGCUCAUUGGGUUGUAACCCAAGCUGUAACCUCACCAACCCAUUCAUAAAGAAAACAAAUAUAACACCCUCCAGUUCAAACCUCGAUCACCAAACACCAUACCACCCCU